GGUCUGCUCUGUGAGUUUCUGCAUCUAAGGAGCAUCAUCGAUGAAGAUCCCUCUAAAAGGUAAUUUAUAAGGCUUUUAUAGAUAACUGAUUGGAGUCAUGAUAACAUCCAAACUGUCCAAGUGGUAUGUGUCUGUGAAACAUCAUCAGUUUUGAGUUGUGUAGAACUGGUGUGUGGUCAGUUACUUUGGAGGCAUGCAGCAGGUGUCUGCAUCUGAUUCUCUCUAAGUCUACCUGUUGAUGACAAAAGAGGAUCUAUUGGUCUUCUUUCCCAGCUUCAGAGCUUCACACACACACACACACACACACACACACACACACACACACACACACACACACACACACACACACACACACACAGUACACAGCCGCCCCUCCUUUAUCCAGCUGAUAACCACAAAUAAACAGGAGAGGAGAAAAGACUGUUCUCUGAAUAUGGACUCAACCUGUAACGGCUUGAUUAGAGAGAAAAAAGGUCAUCCUUGUCCGGGAGUAAACUGGAUUUAUUGUUGUCUCGGCUGCCACGUGGCGGCGAUAAAAAUGACCUCAAUAAAAAACAGAGCAGCCAAUGCCAUAUGCAAAUGAUUCCAUAAAAGGAAUAAAUGAAAGGGGAGGGGGGAUGAUCAGCAGGGUGGGUGAGGGUGGGGGUCAGAGGGAGCAAAUGAAGGCCGAGUAGCUGAAAAAAACGGCCGGCCCAUCACUCUUCAUGCCAGCGGUCUUUAUGUAGCUGUCCAGCAGCCGGCACGUGCCCCCUCCUCUCCUUCAGGAGCCCUCUGACUCUCUGAUAAUGCAAAGGGCAGUUCUGUGUGUGCGUGUAUGUGUGUGUCUGCAUUUGUGUUACCGGACUAUGUAAUGCCUCUUUUAGCUUUUCAGGGUUUUUGAAGCUGUGUUGGUAGAAGUGUCAAAAGCAGGGCUGCCAAAGUACAAAGUGCUUGUGAUGACCCGCUGGUCUGAUAUGUUGUAUCAUAUCUCUUCUUGUGUUGCUGCUGUGAUUGGUUGUGAUUGGUGGGCAUGUCUGUUUAAUCAGUCUGAUGGGGAGCGCAUGGGACCAGUGCUCUCAGGACUUCUCUUACACACUGCGUUUGGUUUCUGUUUCCUCUUUUUCCACCAACACUUGCACAUUACAUUUUCUAUACACCCAUUCACUUACACCACCAUACUCCAAUCUCAUCUUUUCUACUGUAAAAAUUAUGUUUGUGGGUUAAAGCAGGACAACAGAGAUCAGAACUAUGAAUAAUGUCCAUCAGGUUACACUUUGCCCAUAGGUUUUUGAAUUUAACCCUUUAGAGUGAAAAUUUUUAGGUAUACAGCCGGUCUAAAAGUACACGUGGGACACCUGGUAAAGACGAGACAUUCAGCUCUUCGCUGUGUGCCAAGACAGAGACAAAGAGAAACUAAAGAGGAUGGAAAAGCCAAGAAAUCCGAGAGACAAAGCCGGGAUAGAAACAUACAGUCAUAGAGACAGACACUGUAAAACAAAGAGCGGAGGCUGCAAAUGAAGAGUGCAGCAAUGCUGGCGGACAUUGGCAUCCUUUUAGCUGGCACGCCAACAUGCCAAGUUGUAGGAUUUACCCUGGAGCCCUUGGGCUUCGCUGUGAAAAGACUCAGUCGGCUCGAGGGGCCCCGCGGCUGGCUGCAGCCGGGGUCCCAUUGUCUGGGCUGCUGGAGAGGGGGAAAUGCUGGAUGAAUGGAGGGAAAACAAGAGGAAGACGGAGAGGAGGAGGAAGCAGAGGAGGAGGCCAGAGGGAGAGCAGCAAGUGGUUCCAGGGAGCAGGGCCAACAUGUAGAAAAGAGGAGUGAGAAGGAUGCUGUGGUAUGCUCAGGGCCUAGAAGGAAUCCACCAACUCAUGCAGAAGUACACACUAAUGUACAAAGCUGUUCCUGGCAUCUUACCUCUAUGUUAAUACAACUUUAUACCAACAAACAAGACUGAGACUGCUGUUAAUACUCCAGUGCCCAUACUCACAAACAUCCUCUCAGAGAGCUCCCAACUUUGCUUUAAAACUUUUAUUCAGGAUGAGUCUGCGCCAAGAAAUGAUUCAAGAAUGAUCUCAAAGAAACAUAAACUUUUAUCCUGGUGAGGAGGUGUGGCCAACCUUGUUGCUAGGCUUAUCACAUUCUUUGAUAAGCUGUGAUUGGCUGAUCCUGAAAAAGAAGAAAAAGCGUGCUGUCUUGGUGAUAACAGGCAUAAAAUGGUAAAAGUGAUACAUCAUAUUGUAGAAUCAGAUCAGACAUUGUUUUUCAGUGUUUUACUGGUGAGUAAGUUGUAAGUUAUACUUUAAAAUGAUAAAUCUUUCAAAAUGUUUGACUGUUCAGACUCUGCACAUGCUGUUUUUUAGCUCCUAUUUGAUCAACAUUUAAGAUCGAUAAACUAUUGUGUGAUCUGCACUCGCUCUGCACUCCUGCAUAAUGGGAGACACAGAUGUCAUUUUUACUGCCUCUCCUAAAAUGCAUUUACUGCAGUGUGAUGAUGUCUAAUGGGAAGUAUGAACCUUUAAAUGCCACACUUUUUAUCUUUUUGUGCAUCUUGUUACUGUCAAUAUUAUUCUGCUCUCUCUUAGUUUCAUUACGUCUUUAAUAACAAGCCUCCAUAUGCCACACUCACUUGACAUGAGGACAAGAUCGCGAGUUAAACUGCAGCUUUUUUGUAGUUGCUAUGAAACUGGCAUCAUUUUCCUCUCAGAGUUGUUAAGGAUGUGCAGCUUAAAGUGUAUUUUUCCUAUUUUACCAUCUUUCUUUUUAAACAUGUUUAAGGUGGACAUAUUUGGAGUUUUGAUUCACUCUAAAUCACAAAGGUGAAGAAGCAGCUGAGAGUACCGUGAAGUGAGAGUCUGUCCGGGGGCAUUAUUUGAACAUAAAGAUAUGAGGGGCUUGAGAAGAAGUCCAAGAAAAUACAUAUGGCUGAAGUGGACACAGAAAGACAAUAAUGUCUCUUACCCAUGGUCAUCCCUCGAUAUAUUACUUCUGUAGAUCUAAAGGGAAAGCACAGUGGUAUUGUAUUGUGGAAAAAUAUUUGACCAAAAGUAACAACUAAAAUGUAAUGACUUUUGAUUAAACGAAACUAGACAGAAAUGCUUUGACUUUUGUUGGCUAAAACACCCCUGAAACUAAGACAGACAAGAGCGACUACAAUACGACUAAAAAUAAAAUACAUUUUUUAGUCUAAAUCUUCCAUGAGUUUUUUUUUUACAUCCAAGCCUUGGACUCUUAUUGAAUCGUUUUUUAAUGAGGUCUGAAAGCAAACAAAACCAUAAGCAACAUGAUUUUUUAUUUUAUGUGGGACUUUUAAAAGAAAGUAAAGACUCCUUUGUCCACAGGGGGCGCCAAUAUGGAUGCAGAUCAAAAGCUCCUUAUAUGAGCUUUAAACAAAAGUUAAGAAUAAAUCUGAUAUGGCUGCCAAAAUUAAGACUAAUGUGGAUGGCUGACAUGAGGCUCUAGGGCUGCUCAAUAAAACAAUAAUGAUAUAUAUCUAAAAUUAAUUUUCCUUAGUAUCAAUAUAAAACAUGGUCUGCCUGUUUUGGUAGACUAUAGGAAUAGCCAGUGAAAAGGGGAGUUGCUCCAGGUCCGCUUUGCCCUGAACCAUCAUGUGCUGAAUUAGAACCAAGUAGCAAACAGCUGCGUAGUAGCAGGCUUCAGCUACAUGCAACCAUCGCACUUUAACAUGUGAAGCCGAUAGAAACAACGUGAAAAAAAAGAAAAUGAGUGCUACCCCCGGCAAAAAUGCAGAUGAACGCUCAACAGAUGAUGACAUUGUCAACAACACUGACACGAAAAUGUCGAUGGUGCGGAGGUACUUCGUUUUUUUUAGGUCAGACAUGAAGCAGAGUAAUGUGCACUGCAAAUUAUGUUGAGUACAUGUUCUCACAAAGUCGGGUGAUACCUCAAAUCUUUUUCAUCACCUGAAGCAGUACCAUGCAGCAGAGCACACGCAACGCAAAAGGCUACAAACACCGAGCAGAGCAAGGAGCCCAUGGCGCCUGUGCAGCCGAAACAGCCGACCAUUCAGUCUGCUUUCUCUAGUGCAACGCCUUAUGACAAAACAGCGAAGAGACACAAAGACCUCACAGAUACAGCAGCUUAUUGUAUUGCAAAAGACAUGCUACCAAUAAGCUCUUUAAAAUUUCAUUUUUCAUAUUGUGAUAUAUAACAAUAUAGACUGAUAUGAAAAAAAUAUGUUGUGAAAAACGCCCAGCCCCAUGAGGCUCCUGUAAUUGUUUCAGCCUUUUUUUUUGUAAACAGCUUAAAAAAUCCUUACAGGAGCUUUAAAAAACUCCCCAAACCUCCAACAACAUAGAAAACUUUCCCCUGUAUGUCCUUUUUCAUGUCCCCUCUCCCCUCUGUGUAUCUGUGUUGUCGUUCAUUUCCGAGGCGGUAUGCGGUGUGCUGCCUGCUCUCUGUUGUCAGCAGCUGGAGCAUCAGAGCAGAGCGUGCAGGUGUGUACAGACCAGAAGUCGCCCAUGAAUGAGAGCUCAUCCAGAGGAGCCGGUGAAAGCACAUGGUCAAGUGGUCAACAAAUGAAAAUGGAAAAUUGCUACCACUUGUGGGGCCUGUUCAAGUACAUGCAAGCGGGAGAGGUGGUCAGGUCAUGAUGGAUGCCCCGUGUCCCGGUUGUUGUUGAUAUGAUCAAAAAAAAUACCAGGGCCAGCCCCCUCCAUCCUCCUCCAUUCACCACCAUAAUAGACAAACAGAUGUGCGCAGGUCGCUGCAAGCACAGAAAAUUGCCUGUGUGCAAAAUUGCCUUUGGGAUGAGAAAUUUUGUUUAUUCGUUGCACAAGUCCAAUCAUGUUUUUGAGUCCAAGUACAUUGUUAGUGUUUUUCUAUCAAAUGGCAGGGAUUUUAACUUGUUUUCCAGCAAAACAAGCAAAUAGGGACAUGAAUGGUGUUUCAGAACAUGUUUACUCCUGCUCAGGAGGGUGAGAUGAAAAUGAAAUGUAUGCAACAGGGAAUGAGGCACAAUGCUAUGACUUUAAGGUACUUUUCAGAGAGCACAGAACAUAAAACUGUAGCUUUAGAUUGUGGUUUAAAUGAUAAGCAUGCAAGACUUUAAGAAAAAGUGAUAUUACUUACUCUUGGAUGAGGGUGUGGAAGCCGGUGUGGCCAUAUGUUAAAGGCCUAAAGCAGCUGUAUAGUGAAUGUGCUGCAUCUCUAUAUGAGUUAAGUCUAGUAAAAUGUUUGUGCAUCAUUUACCACAUAAUUUGAUGCAAAUACUAUGAAAUGUAGGAAUGGGAAAGCAAAUAAGCCAGAAUGGCAAUUUAAUGAAAACAAAUGUUGGAUGUGGAAAUGCAGAUGUAAUCGUGUGUUUAGAGUACGUCGCUCUCUCUAUCUCUAUCUGCUUCUGGCUCACACACACAAGCACACACAGGCUGGCAUAUCCACACACUCGCAGGUUCUAAGGAGAUUGCAUUUCCCUAAUCAUAUGCAUUUUCCACUUCAUUUCCAUGCUUUUUCAGCUAGAGGCACUCAGCAGCCAUCAGGAACACAACAAUCUCCACAUUUAUGUUGCUACACAAUCACACUGUGUAAUCUCUGCUGCAAAACUUCCGCAGCUACAACAAAUAAUCCUGAUUCCUGUUGUGCUCUUGCUAGCAGCAGACACUUUGUUAAAGAUGGUGACCUUCAACCUUCGGUCAGCAAAAAAACAAAAACGUCUCGACAUGUAUUUUUUUCGGGAGCAAGGGCAGACCCAACUGCAGAUUAAAACAGAUGCACUUGCGGAAUUAAAUCGUUUAUUGGGCUAAAGGAGGCAAAGACAAAGUAGUGAUAGGUAAGACGUGGAUCUAUGGAAAGUGAGAGAAGCUGCAACACUGAUCAGCAGAGGGAACAGGUAUGGAAAAGGUGAGAAAAGGAUGGUGUGUCUGAAUUCACCUUGUGGAGAGGCUUGCUAAACAGACAGUCUUGGUCAUUACAGCGACAGAGCUUUCGUACAUAUGAAACAUAUCUUUUUAACAUGGACACAAUUUAUUGAUUACACCUGAAAUCGCAAAUCUAAUUUGGAGUCAGUUAAACAGCAUUAGUAGCAGGGGAAGGAUUGGAAAGAAUGAAAUUAGGAGCAGUAAUGGUUGUCUUUGCUGCAAAGGACUCAAGCAGUUGUACAUUUUAUAUAAUUUUUGUUGGAGUAGAGUCUUCUUUUGGGGGUGCUGCUUUAAAAAAAAAAAAAAGGUCUAAACCAUGUUUCUGCAUAAGAUUUGCGGUUCGUUCUGCAAUGUGCAGUUUACAUGCAGAUGUGUAGCUUUUUCUUGUACCACCUGGUAUCACGACCAUAGCAGGUACCUCGCUUUAAACCCCUCAGUGUAAAAAGGUUUGCAUUUACCAUUUCAGAUAGGAAUCUUUUUAAUUGCAAUACAUACUAAGACAUUCUUUAUUUAACUUCUUACAAUAAAUCUGAAAAGGAAGCUGUAAAAUCUCUUAAAAAUUCAGAUAAAAAUCCAUUAGGCUUGGUGAUAAUGUCCCGUGUAACAUGCAAAUACAGAGAUUGAAAUUGUGCUUUUGACCUAUAUAUCAUUUUAUCUUUUUUUUUUGUUUGUUUUUUUUGCGUUGAAUGCUGAAUAAGAAACAGUGAUUAAUUAAAUUCUGCAGCUCCAUGGUUAAAAUAGCCCUAUUAACCUUGACAGACCUUCAUCAAAGCUCAGUCAGAGGUGAGGCUGCCAAUCAUACACCACUGGAGUCAGCAUUUUAUCACCGCAGGAUGCUGCCCUUUGCCUUCCUGUCCUCCAGCCCAGAGUCUCUCCCUCUUUUAUUCUACCUCUCCUUCUGUGAUUGUUUUAAUUCAACCAUCUAUGAAAAGCACACUGAGAAACAAGCGCCUUGACUGCUUUUGUAGCUCCAUAAGACUUUUUACUGGCUAACAUGAAGACACUUGUAGUGAAAACGAAAUGACAGCGUCACACAACUUUUAAAGCUUUGUUCAUUAGGAAUAAUAAUUUCUAAGUUUUCACUCGAGAGCUUUGGCAAUGGUCUAAUCACUCUUCCUCCCGUUUCCUUCCCAUUUGCUCUGCCUGUCUUUUAUCUCUCUCCUCUCUCCAGUGAAUAUCUGUGAUAAAUAAGAAAGGAUUAAAUAUGAAUCCUGAGCAGCAUCAGUCUUGCUGUGAGCCAUUUCCAACAUGUGUGGCUGCUCCUCUUGAUUAACACAGAUAUUGUGAGAUAAUGAAACAGGUUAAAUUCGACAAAACAAAGGUACUUUCUGUUGCGAAAAUGCUGUGUGCUACACCGAUUGCUUUUCAGCUUCUUUUCUUAAGAGAAAAAAAAAUUAAACUAUUUAAAUUUUUCUCAUUUCAAGUGUUCAGAAUCAACCCUAAGAAAUUACUGCAAAUUUCUUUACAUGCAAAAUAGGUAAGGCUUUUUUUGUCCAUACACAGCAUGACUUUGUUUAUGAUAUCAUAUAACAUGUCCUCAUCUGACAGAUACACUUGGCUUCUGAUUUCAUAUUGUCUGUCUCUCAGUCAGAGUUCUGUAAAUCCACAGUACCAGCACUGCUCCCAUUAGUUAUAAAUGAUAUCCUUGAGCACCUUGAUGGGGAGCAGUGUUGCCCGUCUUUGUUUGUUGACUUUUCCAAGGCUUUUGAUUUUGUUAGCUACAGCAUCUUAUUUAAACCUAUCAUUAACAUUAGGUUUUUUUGUGAACGUACUGUAUAAUUGGGUGGUUUGCUUACUAUCUCACUUUUAGAACACAAACUGUGGGGUCAGGUGCUACAGAUCCACGAAGGGUACCAAAGGAUCAGUCCUGGGCCCACUACUUUUUAUGUUUACGUGAAUUGUCUCAAAUUCUGUGUUUUACCUCUAUGCUGAUGACAUGGUUUUUGUUUGCUGUGUAUAUACACCUGCUCAAGCUUUCUUGAGUCUUCAUCAGGCAUUUGUUUCAGUACAAAAUUAACUUUGUCAACAGCAACUCUUCUAGACUUUUAUCUGCAGUAUUACUUGGGAACAUUGUUACCGAAGACCUGUGUGAAAUUGGAUUAUCUAUCAAGUCCUAUAACCUGGCUGAAUAGAGGUAAAAUGGAUUAAAGAAUAAAUCCUUAAGAAAGGUCCUUUUUUUGUAGGCAGCGGUAGGGUUCUUUCCUGAGUAGGUUACAUAUUUAUCAAAUUCUUUAAAUGCAAAAACACUUUCCACUGUCUCUGUCAUUCAGGAGAACAACAUCCUUGUAAAGAAACGAUGCAACAGGUACUAACAGAUGAGAGGAGAAGUCUGAAUGGGCCCUUGUCGUUUCUCAUUAGUCUGCGGUACUAUCCGGCGCAGCAUGGCGAAGCGUGACCCACAGCAGGUUAGGGCAGCCUGGUCCUUCCCAGCUCGUAGGGCUCUUUAGGAGAAAUAUUGAUGACAGUCGGGACGAGGCUUUGCUAAAUGAGCCUCAGCAAUGAGCUGGAAAAUGACUAAUGUUCGCAGGGUGAGCCCAGAGUGGUCGGGCCUGCCUCUGUACUGCUGGGCCUGCCCGCUUUUUCAGGACUGAGAGGGAAAGAGAGGACAUGAACAAGUUUGUGUGUAUGUUGGGGUGUGAGAGAGUAUGUGUGCACAUGUAAUGCUACCCUUUCAGAAUCAUAUAGAUACAUUCAAGGCAGCACUUUUGCUGUCACUGGUGAUCAAAUGUGAGACAAUUAGACACAGCCACUAAGAACUGAUGUAGAACCGCUACUAAAUAUGUAAACAGCAUACAGAACUAAUACAGUAUGGUAUUUAUAUCUGACUGCCUUGACUGAUUGGUGUCUUCAGCACAUUUAAUGUCCAGCACUUACAUUAUCUUACGUCACAUUCUUGCACAAUAACAUCAAACCCAAGAAUCUUUUAGAAACUUUUUGCAAACAGAGCAUUGAAAAAGUCAACUCUGGAUAAAUUCAUCAAAGCAAGAAAGGACUCAUAACGUAUCCUAAAUGUGGCACUCAGUAGUUACCUAUCCAAAACAGUGGCAAAAGCUGUCCUGCAGAAGCUUAAUACUCUGAUAACUGGGGUAGACAUAACUGAGCCCUUUGUUUCCAGUCCACUCAGUGUCAUGUUGUUAUUCUCACUACCCUGAUGCCAAAAACAGAUAAGCCUAACAAAGAUUUAAAUAGAUUUGAGCAUUUAAUAUUUAGGUGUAUUAAGUUGUUAUUCUGUACAUUGAUAUACAAGGUGUCCACAUUAUGCACAUCAGCGUCCAUUAAUCACCUGUGAGCUACAAAUAAAGGCAAAACAGUCCAGAGGAGUCACCCACAUCAGCAGCUCUGUAUCCUUUUUUAUUUGUUGAAAUCAUAUCAGCCUCUGCGGUGAGAGAAGAAACACUCCCGGUUAAGUGUCGCCCUCCUCCUGCUUCCUUCCCCUCUCCAUCUUCCUCUCUCUCGCACUCUCGCCUCCAAUCCACCAUUAUUAGUGCCUCCAAUACUCCAGAGGGCAAACAAACUUUCAAAAAAUUCCCCAUAACCUGCCAAGCGUAGCCCAUUUUCCUCUCCAUGCAAUUAACUGCGCCAACAUUUACAAUAAUAUGAUUACAGACACUUUGGCAAAGUCAUGGGGGGAACGCGGGGCAUAUUAGGUAUCAGCAAGGGGUUGAUCGUAAUGGUCGCGUUUCCCGGAGACUCACAUUUUCUUUUGCACGCAAUAGUGAGAGCCACUAAAUUCUCCUCAGGCAGUAAAAACCAAUGCACUGGAACCAUGAUAACAAACACAGGCAACCACUUUCUUUCUCAUCACUCCCUGAUUUUCUUUCUCUUACUUUGGGGCCUUGUUGUUUUUUCUCAGCUCUUUACUUUCCUCUGCACCCUUCUCCUUAACACCCCCACCCCCUCGCUGCGAACCCCAUGCACCCCUCAAUUAAUUAAGUCUUUCACGGCCAUGUAAUUAGGAACAUUAGCAAGUCAUAAACUUGCCACGAGUCUUGAAAUUAUGUGCUGGCCCUCAGCAAUUUGUUUGUAAUUCCUUUUUCGUGAGACAACAGCACCAUAGGGUCCCAUAGAUCUUCCCAAAGCCCCUGCUGUGCCCCCCCGCCCUCAUUUCGCUGCCACGACAAGGCAGGAUAAGAGGGGUCCUUGUCGGGCUGAGAGGGGGACCACAUGAUGCCCGAGCUGGCUGGCACCCAUCCUGCAGCUCUCCAAAGGCUCAGCCUGAUGGAGGCUGUUGUCUGUUCACUGCACACUGCUCAGGUUUUGCAUCCAUCUGUUAGCAGCGGAGGAGCUGCUAACACACUUACUUUAACCUACAUUUCAAUGAGAUCAUUUACAGUUCGCUAGCUUUUAUUAAAAGACUCAACUCCUACAAAGUGGUGCAGGAUUAAACCAAAACUUCACCUUAGAUUUUAAUUGUUUGACUAUUAAAUCAACACUCUUUCUACCCUGAUUCCAAAACGGUUGGUACACAGAGUAAAAUGUUAAUUUGAUAAAAAAUUUUGUUUGUUUGUAAAUUAUUGAAACAAUAUAUUUACUGAAAAUAAAAAGGACAGGGGCGUGUUUACCACUCUGAUAGAUAAAUUUAACUGCCCAACAUUUCAGGUUUCCCUCUUUUAUUGAAUGUGUUUCAUGAUAUACUAAUUGUUUUCAGUGGGGGAUGAGUUGACAAUGCAGGCAGGCUAUUUAAAGUUCCUAUAAGCGUUUUUCUUUUUUUCUUUCUUUUUUUUUUAUUUACAAAAAAAGGCAGCGCUUAGAAGGUUUACAAGCUAGUUACAACAAACCUACCAGGGAUCUCACGGGCCAUUGUCCUUUUUUUCCUUUUCUACUCUUGUUUGGCAGAUGCAAAAAUCACGUCUAAGAGGCAUUCAUGCCAUCUCAAACCCCACAAAACUAGCUUUUCACUACUACUAUUUUAACUAUCCUUACUGGUACAUUUUUUACAACUGACUCAAAGUCAUAUUAAUGCCUUACUUUGCCAAAAAAAAAAAGAAAACAAGAGCAUUAGUGACGUAGUUGAUAAUUAUCAUUUUGUAGUUGUUUUGUAUACAUUGUCCAACAUUAAUGAUCCAUUCCCACAAGCUAACAUGCCAUUGGUUCCUCUCCUUUAAAUAGUCUCAUAUGCAGUGAUCAUGAUUUCCAAAGAAAUUUCAAAUUUUCUUUUUUCUUUGUUUCUUUUUUUUUUUUUUUUUUUCACUUCAUCUCAGUCCAUCUACUUUUGCAGUUUAAGGCAGUUUGCUUUAACCCAUCCAGUCCACCUUGAUAAAGUCUGGAAAUAGGAGUGCAGUGCAUGUAUGACACGGGACAUAAUCUGGUUACUUCCAAUGUGAAAGAGAGGUUGCAUUAGUUGGACUUCCAAAAGCCGACAAUUUCAAUUAAAACAACCACCUUUCUAAUCUCAAAUGUAGCGCUCCUGUGGCUUCAGUCUUACCAUAGCGAGGACUCGUGGCUCAUUUAUGCUCUAAGCAAGAUACACAUACUGAUGCUUCUGCACAUUCCCUGCACUUUAACAAAUUGGAUUCCCUGUCCAUAUGUUGUUAAGUAUUUAAAUGGUGUCAAUGACUGCCAUCUACAAUCCUGCAUCCGAGUUUGACUUUAUCCUAACUACUGUUCAGUUAGAUGCUCUUAACCGUCACCAUGAUUGUUGUUGUCACAAACGUUUGACUCUUUCUUUUCUUCUUCUCCUUCUUCUUCUUCUUUGAGGUAACUUUAGUGUUUGAUUGGUGCCAUCUAGCAUAUUAUCACAAAUCCCCCUUUCCAACCUUAAGGACACAUGGAAGUGAGAGGGUUUUGACAAUUACACUGUUUAAAAUGAACAGUCCAGGGGAUCAUAAAUGACUGCGUAGUAUUGUGAUUGCCUCUGCCCAGCAUACCUGUCUGUAUAUGGAUAUGUUCUGAUUCUGCAUUUGUCCUGUUGGAGGUGUCUGAAGAGCUUAUCCACAUAUUGUAUGUAUAAGUGACAUUAAUGUUUCAUAGCCACACAUGGAGUAGGGGUUUCUAAGUUGAGCUUAACUCCUAUAUAAACAGUCUAUCUACUCCACCAUCUGAUAUACAUAUAAGACCAUGUCAAAACAUCUCACUCUAUUUUUGUCCUUAUUUGUCCUGCAAGUGUUAAUCAACAUUUUUUCUCGUCCUGAUUUUUGCUUUCAUUCGGAUGAUUUUGGAGCUUCAUAUGUGUCACAUCUGCCGCAGGAGUCCUUCAGUCCUCCAUUCAAAUGAAGUCUUCAUCAACCACAAAACAGCCUAUCAUGCAGAGGUCUAAACAUGUGAUUUUCUCCCCAUUGCGGAGUGAACAUGCGUGUGUUUUCCCUCUGUGUGUUUCUCUGUGUGAGAGUGUGUGUGUGUUUGUGUGUGUGUGAGCUCUUUUGUCUGUGCUGCUUCACAGAGGGGUUAACGCCAUUGAUGCCUGUGUGAUUCCAGCUCAAGCACUCUCAUCAGCAGCCUUAUUCUCUCCUCCGGCUGCACCCUGACCUCCCAAUAACCAUACACCAUUGUUUCUAUUUACCGUUUGCCAGAGAUGGAGGGAAAACUGGAGGAAGAGCAUGGCAGAGAAAAAGAGAGCCAGGGCUGCUAUUGAUCGGCUUCCACAUGUAUUGAAACCAGAUAUUGAUUUUCUUUCUUUUUUUUCAAAUGGGAAAAAGUGCAUUGUCCGACGGAAGGAGAUUUCUGUGGGGAUUUGGGGAAAGAGGAGUUGAAAUGAGCAUCCGGUGCUCCGUUGUCUCCUGUGGAUUGUGUAUAGGGCUGUGGUAAUUGAAUUGAGCGAGCAGGGCCCUUCUUCGAUAUGUGCUCUCUUAAGAGUUUUUGGCCUGUCAAUGUUUCUCUGUAAUAUUUCUGCAAGAGGACUCUUCAGAAAGCAUGGAAAGUUUUUCGGGGAAGGAGUUCAGCACAUGAUGAAGCAGAUAACUGCCAUUAUGAAGAAUAAUUAGUUAUUAGUUUUCAUGUCAUUGCUUGAUUGCUGCACUAAAUCAGCUGGGUUCUUCCCUGAUUUAUACACUUGUAUAAUCAUAUCCUGGUUUAUGUCCUUUUAUUGUGAUAAAUCAGAGACAAAUUUGUGAUAUGUUGAUGAAAAAGUAUUUCACAAUGACUUGAAUUACAAUGCAUCUCACCAUAAAGGCAGACAACAUGCUGCUGUGCCAAUCUGUUAUGCCUGAAAUAGAGAAAUGCUCAAAGUAAUUGCUACAAAAUGCCUUUUUACUAAAAGUGAAGGCAAAGUGAAAUGACAUUUAAGAUAAAAAUUAAAUUUGAAUUCAAAUUGCAAACCUGCUAAGUCAAAUUGCUGUUCAGUGUGAGUUGCUGUAACUUUCUAUGCAUGUCCGGAAAAAAUGCAUCAAAUUUUAGCAAAGAAGUUUUAAAGAUACUUUUGAUGAAAUAUUUUGUAUUUGUUUGCGGAACAGAAGACUAAAGUACAAAAGAUGAAAAAUGUAUUAGAACAAGUAAAACAUAACUACCACAGUGCAAGACGAGAUUGAUAAUUUUACUCAUAAAGCACCUUUUAAAAAAUAAGCUGCAAAGUGUUUACAAAUAAAAAAAUAAUAAUAAAACAAAAAAAAAGCAGUUAUCAGCUGUAGAUUUAAAAAGCAAUCCACCAACAAACAGGGUUGAUAAAAAUUUAAGCAACUCAUUACAGACAUGUAGGAUCCAGUUUCUUAAUAUUAAUUUAAGAGAAAACCAAACGACAGAAAUGAGUGUAAAGAAGAGAUUUAAAAGAGGACAGUGGGUUAACCUGUCCGACACCCUUAGGCGGAGGGUUUCACAGCUGUGGAGCACCAACUGCAAACGCUCGGUCACCUCCUGUAACCAGUCAAGAUUUAGGAACCAUGAGAAGGACCUAAGGUUUGGGUCAGGAUCCCGGGGAGUCAGAGACUCACAUCAGGCUUUAAUAACAAGCAGUAAAAUCAUAAAAUCUAUUGCAAAACUCAAAGGGAUUCAGUGAUGAGCAGCAAGGACUGAUGUGGUCACCUCUCUUAGUAAGUGUUAAAAGCAUUUUGAAUGACUUGCUGUCUUUGUAUGUUGCUGCGAUUACUGAUGCCAGCGUUAAGUGCAUUACAGCAGCAAACUCUGGAAGAAAUAAAUAAAUGACUUAGAAGAAGGACAACAUAAUCCUGUACCAGAAUGACAGAGGUAGGAUACGUAUUAUUCUCUGCAAAAGUAAAAUAUUGAGCUCUUGAAAAGAAGCUGUCAUAAAAUUCGAGGUCAUAUCUGGAUGAAUUGGGGCAACAUGUAUCAACAUUCAAAGAAAAGUGUCCUGAAAUAUCUUCAGUUCCAUACAGCCAGGGUUUUCACUGCAACGACAACAACCAAGUCUAAUCUGUUUAUUAUUCACACUAUGAGAGGAAACUAGAUUGCUCAAAAACAAACAAGCAGUUUUCUGAUGUAAAAUGAGAAUUACACCAAAGGAAAAAAAAAGACUCCUCCUGCUUUUUGACUUUUGUGAUAACAAAAUCAUAAAACUUUACCUCUGCAAUUUGUGUUUCAUUUUUUAAACUGUACGCCAAAAUCCUGUCAUGAAAUUCAAUUUUAGACCUUUUAAAGGGAUGAGAAACUGUGAUUCUUUCACAUUUAAUCCAACAAAUGAUUCUUUUUUAUUAAUUUUUUUUACAGCCUAAACAACUCUAAGAAACUGUAACAGAUCAUAUGUCAGCUGAACUGCAGGUCUUUUGUUGUUUGUGAUGGAGAUAGACAUAAAUUAUUCCUUUUAUUUAUCACAAAAACUAAAAUUGCCACUAUGCAUAUGCUGCAUCAUCUCCCGACAGAGAAAAUCAAACUAUAACUCAGGGUGAAAAAUACUAGACUUUUUUUCACAUAAACAAAAUAUUUUUAAUAUUAUUUAAAUGCUGGAUUUAAAGAUGCUGAUUGAUGGACAUGAUCUGUUUGCUGAUGAAAUGUUUGUUUUGUGAGUCCUCUCUCUGUAAGUGGGUGAAAAAUCAAACAUGAGCUGGUGAUCAGUCUUUCAGAGAGAAGGUUUUCUGGCCUCUUCAAACAAAGGGAUGUCUGAAAUCAAGCGAGAAGCUGUCUUUUGUACACAGUGGAGUAUCUUUGUCGUCUUGUGCAGUUUUUUUCCUGCUGAUUUGAAGUGAAUCACAGAACAGCUAUAUCAGCAUUUUACUUCAAACUCUUUUCUUGUAACACUUUCUUUCCCUCCCUCAGUAUCCCAAACUUUACUAUUUGCAUCUCCAUCCUCAGUUCACCUCCGCCUCUGUGAACCCUGCUCUGAACUCUGUUGUUCCUCUCCUCACUGUCUCUGUCGCUUCACGUCGGCCGAGUCGCCUCCGCGGACACAGCCGGAGCCUCGGCUGCCUGCUUCUCAUUCAGCCGGCGUCGGCCUGUUCUCCCACUCAAUUUGCAAUUAAGACCAAAUUUAGAGCGCUGGAGCCUGAAGGCAGGUGGGUGUCCGCACAAGGAACAUGUUGCCUAGCAACUGGGGGGGAUGGAGUCAGGAGGGUGUACCUGAGCAGUAGGGGGCAGUGUGGAGAGGGAGUGAUUGUAUAUCUGUUGGGGUUGGAUGUAUGUUGGAGUUUGCUGAUAAUGGAAAGACAUUAUUAAAGGUACAUUAGGCAAUCAACUAGUGCUGUGAAUAUUUCACCCGUUUUCAAAGUAUUUCUCUUUUUUUUUUUUUCACAUUUACUUGUCUUAAAAAAAUAAGCCAGAAAAUAAGCCAGAAACCUAUAAACAAGAUUUUGAAUCUAAAUAACCCAUAGAUCUAGAGGUUUUUGAGCUCUUUUAGCAGAUGACUAUCGCCGGAAGUCUUUAAACAGGCUGUUUCUUUAAAGCCUGAGACAGCACAAGAAGUGAAGUGUCUGACAACACUUCAGAAAGGAUCCCUGUAGAGAUAGACCUUUUUUUGUAAAAGACAAGGUCUCUUUCCUCUAAUCACAAACAGCUGUUCCUUCAUUCAUUGCUGUGCAGAAACAGAAACAGGAGUAACUGGAGUACAACUGUCCUGAUACCAUAGUUUGUUAUUUGUUUGUCAUUGGGGUUGCAGUUUGACGCGGAAAGAGAGUAGUUUUAGUCUUCUUUGCUCUUAAUACUUUGUACCUAGUUCUAGUUGACAAAAAAGUCAAAACAUUUUUGUCUCUAAAUGUCACAAAAUGAUUUCUGUCCUCAAACUAAUUUAAUUAAUCAAAGCCUGUACAGCCAGCCCUCAGGCUAAUGCAAAAAGUGAAAUUUCAGCCCCACACAAGGCAACAAGGCAGCGCUUGGAAGGUUUACAAGCUAGCUACAACAAACCUACCAAGGAUCUCACUGGCCACUGACCCUUUUUUUCCUUUUCUACUCUGUUUGGUAGAUACAAAAGAGGUCUAAGAGGCAUUCUUGCCAUCUCCAACCCCACAAAACUAGUUUUCCACUACUACUAUUUUAACUAUCCUUACUGUCUUCAUGUAACAUCAUAUUUGUUUUCACCAACCUGCUAUAAAGAGAUUAUCAAAAGCUUGGAGGUGACAAACAUCCAUGUCUGUUUCCCACAACUACAGGAGGGUUAUUUUAGAUCUCAGUGGGUAAACUGAUAAGGUAAAGGAUCAAAUCCAGUCCAAGCUCCCCCUCCUGCAACCCGGACCAGGGCAGACAGAUAGAGUAUCAGGGGUCAAAGGUCACAGCUCCAGCCAUCCUCUGGCAGGGCUCGCUGUCAGAUCUCCCGAUACUCCGUGUGUGUAUCAUUUAGUGUGCUUGUAUGCAUACUGUGAAUUUGUUUCACCACGUGUGUUUGUAGUUAAGUGUCAGGAGAGUUUCUACACAUGGAGAGGAGCUGACAGUUACCUUCACCUUUUCUAUUAUAGUUGCCCUGCAGUGUAGACAACAUGUUGGCUUACUGACCUUUAUUUUGGUGGUGGAAGGCAGGCUGAGUGACACACCACUGUUUUAUUCUCCAAUGAAAUCUACACUCUUAAUAAGCUUAUCUACCCUCUUAACACUCAUGCACCAAUAGAAAAUGACUCUCACUUAAACCAUCAUUGAGGCUUACCUUAACCAGGAUGGUUAACACUGUCUGCCCACUGUCAACGUCAGGUGUGUGAGGGACCUCUUUUAAUUGAUUUAUGCACCCUCUCUAUAAGUGAGAAUGUCUGUACACUUAGUGUGAUGGAUUUACUCAAAGUUCAUAUCUUUCUAAUGUGAAAGACAGGAUUUCCAGGGGAAGCCUUCAAGCAUUGAAGGGUAAACAAAUGCAAUACCACAAAAAUAAAAUAAUUAAGGGAGGGUAGACAAGACGCAUGGACACUUACGUUAAGUGUGAAUAGGUCUACAUGAAAUAUCCUAAAACUACGUGCCAUAUGACAUAUUGCCAGGCUAUACCUGUUUUCACCUUAGCCAGGUGCUGGGAGAUUGUCUAUGAAAAUUAAAGCUGAUUUUUCCCCUCACUUAGGGGUUGUAUUUACACUGAAGCAGUAAAACUAACAACACUUUUCCUUAUUAUCAUUACAUCAGUAGGAGGGUUAAAGAGAUAAAUCUGGAAACAUUUAUUCCUAUUAAAGUUCUUAUUUAGAAUUAUGAAGAAAUAAAAUCUUAAUAAUUAAAGCUCCUGUUAAGAGUUUUUUCACAUAGAGGAAUUGUACUGAAAUUCAUAUGGAUGCCUUUUUAUGUUAUCGAAAAGUAAACCAUCAGUGACAUGAUUGAUAUUUUUAUUUUAUAAUUCUUUAUACCUGAAAUUAGUGUCGGGGCUAGGUGUCAUCAGAGCAAAGUUCCUCACAGGAGCUUUAAGUUCCUUUAAAUUAGGAUGAUUAAUGUCUGUACAGCCCACGAUAACACCUGUCAGACUUUCCACUUUGAAAAAGUAUCAAGUUUUAGAUAUUCAUUGCUUUUGCUGAGGUCAAAAAAAUAAAUGUUUUGGGUGAGAAUUCAAAUAGUCAUCUUCAUCCUUUGUUCUUUGUUGGCACGGUUUCAUAUAAACCUUUUUUCCCCCUCAAAGCGAGGCAUGAAUUCAAAACAGCCUCCCUGCCCAACAAUAACCCAGACUUAAACAGUUGGUACACAUUUUACAGCCCCGCUCUGUUCCCCAAUCGGUAUCAUCUUCCAUAUUUGCAUGUGCUUGGAUGCUGAGAGUGGCAAAUUGAGUGAGAAAAUAGCCAUAUUACCACACAGUGGGAGAGGGAGUGUGUCAUGUGCAGCAAACAAAGGAAAACGACGGCGAUGGCCCCCACACCGAGCAAAUGUCUGCUCUCAACUCAGCCGAAUCACAUACACAGAGAGUGCGUGUGUGAUGGGGGACAAUAGCAGAGAUAAUGUCAAAGAUUCCUCAUGAUUUGUGGACUCUGAAACUUGUCAUGGGUGAAGAGAGAGUGGAGCCUUCUAAUGCCUCUCACCUGACCAUCAUGCCACACACAGACAGUGUUCUUCUGCUGCUUUUGAAUAACCUGCACUUGUACAAAAACAACCUUAAAAGGCACGAUGAAAGAAACUGUGUCAACCUGUGAGCUGAAUUUUUAGAUUAUUUAGAAUUUAGAAUUUAGGAACUCAACAUUAUGAUGAACAGUACUGUCUUCUACAGCUCUGUAUUCUGCAUUUGCAUGUAACUUGUUUUUGUAUACUUAUUUCCGGGUACUGUCUUGACACUUGAUGGAACCUGUAACAGAAUUGUACAAAAAUGUGUCUACUCAUGAAAAAGACACGAGUUAUGCUUUUUUAAAAAUGACCUUUUUAAAGCACUUCUAUUGCCUCAGUUUGAUUUUUAUACACUAGCUAAGUUUAUAGGCAACAUUUCAGCACCAGGAACUGUCCACUUUGACCUGUUUACUCCAGAUACUAUAGAGUAUAUGAAAAUAGAUGCCACAAGUGUUUACAGACUGAGAAGCCUGACUGACAGGGUGCCUGUCAGUCAAGUCAGUUGUGCCUAUGAUUCACCAAUCUCUUAACUUCACUGUCUCUGAAAUAGCAUGUUACCAAAAAUUCACCCUCAGUAGAGUGGGUGUCGUGGAAGCCCUGAGCUAUUCAGACCAUAACCAUUUAACCAGGCAGUAAACAUGCUAUUUUGGCUCCAAAGAUGUUUUUCUGUUGUUUUGUGUUGUUUUUUUAAUGAUUGUGUGAGUGUGUGUUUUCCAGUGCCUUUGCAGCCAGCCUCAAGUGGACACUCAGGUGACUGCAGUUUUUACUGAAUCAGCUUCAACCGAAUCUAAAUUCACAGGCCUGUUGAUGAAUGUGAGCUCCAGCAGUUUUCACACACACACUCACAUAUAUGCACUCACCAGCUGCUUUAUUAGGUACACUUCGCUAAGGUAUCACCAAAUAUAUCUUUAAAAUGAGACAACUGUCUACAGCAAGCUUGUGUAACCCCUCAGCCCACAAAUCAGCUCCAUAUAAAAAUCAGGAAACCUGAUUUAUCUCUAUGUAUUGAUGAUUGAUGUCCACGGUGUCUUUGGUAAACUUGUAAAGAUUUUUGCUGGGUCCAGCUGUUCUUAAUUUUUAACAGAUAUUUGCCUGAUAUUUCCCCAUUAUUGUUAGAUCCAUAUCUGAAGGCAGCAAUGUUGAAAGAGGAUUUACCACCCACUCAGGGAGGGUGUCCUGGUGGAAAGGUCACUUAAGUGCAAACCCUCUUAGAACUGCUAGAUGCUAUAUAGCAAAGUUUAAGGGGCGUGUGUGUGCGGUACAUAUAUAUGGCAGCAGAAAUACCAAAGCAGAAGCAGAGACUGAAAAUCUUGCAGCUUAAACAGAACACCAAAUCUAUAGGAUGGGUUUAUCACGUGAUUGUGAGAACAAUGCAUAUCAAGCGCAAAGUCAGCGCAACCCAAGUUGAUUGCCUGAACUUGUGCUCAGGUUUUGGUCCACCCUUCAAACACACCUUCUACAGCUUUCCUUUGGAUCUAAAUCUGGCCUCCCUCUCCUUUCUCCAUCCGCUCUUCUCCCUCUAUUCUCUGUCUGGACCUGAGACAGUUCAAAUCCUCCAAGGAGCUACCCCAACAUGACUAUAAUCAAUAAAGUUUACCUUAAUAAAUUGAAAGAUUUCAAUCAAUAAAUAAUCUUAAGACCGCAUGUUGUCGAUGGUGCGGUCUAGUUCUGAGAAAUUUAAUAAAACUAUCUUUUUUUUUUUUUUUGUAAACAGUAUCCUCAACAUUUCUAUAUUAAAGCUUGUGAAGAAACCAAAGUUGGGAAAACAGCUUCUCUGUUCUUGGAGACACUGAGCAUGUGCAUGCAUGGUUACUGCUCUGUUUUUGUUCCCGGGAUGGCCAGGAGUGUGUGCGCUUGUGUGCGUGUUUGUGUUUGUGGUGGCAGAAGGGGCAUGUGUAUUAGAAAGUCCUCAAUUUCACACAUGCUUAAUCUUGAGUGAGUUUGGCGUGAAGGAUUUGUGGAGGAGUGUGUGUGUUUGGGAGUGGGGGUGGGUAAGGGAGGAAAUUGGGGAGGAGAAGAGGGGGAAAUUGGGGAGGAAUCAAACAGGAUGCUCUUGUUUAAUGGACUGACAGGAGGAACUUUGGUCUGCUGUGCACUGUGUCAGUGUUUUUAUCUUCAGCCUCUUUCCUUGAGGAGGAGAUCGAGGGUGAUUGUCACAUGGGGAGAGGCGUAACACCAGCAUUUCCACUCGUCAGGAGUCACAUGAUCCUUUUAAGUGUUGACCCACUUCCUCCUCAUGUGGUGAUUUUUGGGGCUUUAAACAUAUGCUUCUUGUUUAUAUGUUUGUUUGUUUUGUUUUUUUGUUUUUAAAAAAGAGGAUUUUGAGGUAUGAAAUUAAAAUUUGCCCAGAUAAUAUUUAACUGCAAUGUUUUCUGACUUGAUCUAAUUCUCCUGUAUUUUAGGCUUGUUGUUAUUGCUUUUUGACACUGUAGAGGGAGUUGUGGACAUUUUUGCUAGCACACACAAGUGUUGAGAAACUAUGUUUAAUCUUCUGCCCAGAUCCUGCUGGUGGGUGCUGGGGCUGAGAGUAAGCACAACAUUGGUGUAGGACAGGGAUGGCAAAGAUGAAGCAGAGGUGUGACCAGAAAUCUUACCCCUAAAUAAACCACCAAUUUGACAGGAUAUGUGUGUUAGAUUACUGUGAAGAAUGAUGCAACUCCAAAAUCUUAGGUUGCCUGCCUGAACUAGCUCACAGGUGUCGCUCCUUUUCUGUAACUUCAUAGAGUUGUGGAUUCAACUCUGUAUUUCAUUUCUGAGAGUUAUCCUCUUGUAUAAUGUUUUGAUGUGCUGGUAAAGUUGAGGCAACACAGUGCAGAGAGUGAGAGAAUCAGCCUUCAGUGUUGGGAGAUGAAUGAGUCAAACCUGCACUGGUUUGGCAAACAACUUUCUGUGGAGGCCGCCACUCUGCUGGUGGUAAAGUGCAGAACCUUGAAGAACAAUUCAUUCUUCUCAUUUUUCUGUAUUUGUAGUCUGUUUUUUAAUGUGCCUGUGAUUUCAAAAACACUGGUAAAAUAAGGGAAACCUUGGUGUCUUUUAUGCUCCUUUUUCUAAGAAACACUUGCAAAAACAGGCUCCACAAGAACAACAGUGGGUUCUCUGUAUCCUUUGGUUUGAGAAAGGCUUUCUGGUGUGACAGAAGUCUCUGAGAAGUGGCAUGAAUUACUUGUUUUGUGAAAGUAGACCAUGCAGUACCAGAAAUGUAAAAUAUCUGGCAUGCUGAGUAACAAUGACUCGUGUCACUGUUUAAAAAGGUGAGAUUUGACUCCAGGAUAUGACCAGAUAAAUAAAGUAAAGAUAAAUUCCAGACAAACUGUGCAUCAGUUUGGUAACGCUGGCUGAUGUGACGGAUGAAGAUUCAGUGUGGCUGAGAAGUGUGGGAGUAGGAAGACAGGUCGAGAGGGAGUGUGAGAGGGGAAGUGUUUAGGUAGAUCAGUAAGCAGCCUGGCAGAUAGGAGGGCUGUGAAGCGUUCACUGUGGGAAUGAACCUAAACACUAAACACUGACACCCCUGUAAAGACCCCCUCUCUGUGAACCAACUCUGGAGGUCUUGGAAGUGAGGUCAGGGUCCUGGGAUUGGUUUCAAAGAUAGAUCCCUGUGAUAAUCACCAGACCAAUCCUUUCACUUGUCUAAAACACUCUCAUAGAAGUAAGACGUGGCAGUAUCUUGUAAUGUCGUGAUGUAAUGUAAAGUUGAAGUUUUAGCCUAAUUGACAGAAUCUCUUCAAGGUUAAUGAACCCUCUGCAUCUCAACCGGGUCUUGUCUCACCCUGUCAGAUUCAUAUAUCUAACGAACUGUUUUCCCUCACUCAUUGAACCAUUUUUUCACGCAGCUACAGACAAAAUAGUUAACCUCGUUCCAUGUUGGCAUCUCAAAAACCUUAUCCCUCACUUGUUGAACUCUUUGCUCAUGUGGUCUCCUCCUUCUUUCCCAACACCUUACAAACUCCCAUCAAAAUUUUCAUUUCUUGGAAACUGUUGGUGUGUUGUCCAUGCACUGUUUCCAAUCACUAACAGUUCUUAAAUGAUUUGCAACCAUGAAAAUCUGUUUGUAUUUACAUUUCACACAUGCAUCCCAAUUCUUAUUGAAUCAAGUGGUAGAAUAUCUGGACCAAACUUAUUAAUCCAGCUAAAAAAAAAAUGAGCCAGAGUCCUCCAGUUGGUGUAAUUCAAUUUGCACCUUUAUUUCAUUAUGAUGUCCAUUUUCUUGUUAACUUUUAUUAAAUACUGUUCACAGUAAGAUUAUUCACUCUUAAAAUAAUUAUCUUUUCCUAAUACUCAAUGAUAGUUUUCCCACACAGUCACUUUCGAGCAGUUUGCCCGAUAUAUUCAACAAAUAUAUGUCUACAUUAUUCUAAAAAGCCCUCUGUAACCUGAUAAUUUCCUUUAAUUAAAAACUGCUUUAACUUAAAACAUGUCAAUUAACACUGAGGGGAGGCUCCUUUAAAAGUUUACGGUGCUUUAGGUGGAUCUGGUGGAACAUGUUGUGUGAGGGGACCGAUGAAAACACAAUGAGAUGGCCCUCAGCGGGGCCCUCCACACUGCGACGUCUCUGCAUGGUUAGAAAGCGAGAUGCCCAGGAUAAGAUAGGGCCUGUCGAUAAGAUAAGGCAAGUCUUUUCAAAGUGAUUUCCCACACAAGCUACGUGCUGUAUUCAAUUUAGAUGGUGAGAUAUGCAUGAAAUAAAUUGGAUUUGGAGGGUGAAGAUAAUACAUUUCUACAUUCCCAGUUGUUAUUUUGAGAGCGAUUUCCAUGCUUGAGAUUGGUUUGAUUUGUUUAUCCUGGCUCUAUGGCUUGUAAAAUGAUGAGGUGAGGAUUUGGAUGACAUGCAGCAGCUGGUUGGUUGGUUGGUUGUUUCUGGACUGAUGGUGGAGGUGGAGGUGUGAAGUUGGUCUCAGCAGCCACCAGGGCAAGCAAAGGCAUCUCUGAAGUCUUAACAAAACCCCUUCUUCACUCCAAAUACAAAUAACAUCAAACAUAUUUCUUGCCUUAUAUGCUUGCACAGCCUGUAUAGAAAUGUAAUGGAGCUGCUAUGAAUGCAAAACAGUCACAUCAUAAAGAUCAUUGAAUUACGGUUUAUUAAACCCCUCUAAAUACACUCUUACAUGCUGUGCUAUUUUAUGUUCCUUCUCUUUCUCCUCCUCUAGUGCACCAUGCCUGUACUGCUCUCUGCCUGACCGCAGAAGGGGAUUGGGCACAGGUGAGCCCAAUCAGCACUCAGGAGCAGAGUACAAAAUCAGGAAAGCAGGGAGAGCCGGCGUCAGUGGGUCAUGCUGCUGUUGAAGUGAGGAUGGUUUUCAUUGAGGCCUUUAAGUAACUUGAGAUAAAAAGAGUAGAAACCUUGCAGACCAGAUCAACAUAGUGACAUCUUUUAAAGUACUUUAGAUUUUCAACAUCAUAAUGACUGCAAUGACCAAAUUUCAAGGUAGACAGGGUAUUCAUGAACAUGGAGGAAGAUCUGUACCACCUUGUCUCUCUGUGAAGGAGCCUUUCCAAAUGAGAACUAAGGUGGCUCCAUGAGUACUGGCUGUAAAGGGAUCACUGGAUAAUUUGAUGGUUGUGAUUUCUUCUCUUUAGGCUUUUUGCUCUGUCCAGUGAAUCUUUAUAUGAACAUGGAAUGAUUUAGUAUAUCCCAAAUCCAAAAUCACACAUUACAUGUUUUAGUUUUUUUUUUUACCCAUGCAACUACUUCCUUGAGAAACUUGUUUGUUUUUGGUUAUCGUGGUUUUUAGCUUCUCCUCUGUUGUCGACAGCUUUGGUGGUCAGUUUAUUUAAGCACACGUCCGCUAUGGGAAAAGGCGAUCCCUUGGUGACAGAGCCUUCAGUGUGGCCGCCCCUCCUCUCUGGAACUCUCUCCCCUCUGAGAUUCGCCAAGCACAGACUCUUGACUCUUUCAAGUCUGCUCUGAAGCGACACUUGUUUAUCCAGGCUUUUGGUAUUUAGUUUUUGUAGUGUGUUGUUAAGCGCCUUGGGUAUCCUGAAAGGCGCUAUAUAAAUGUAAGAUAUUAUUAUUAUUAUUAUUAUUAAGAUCCUUGUUUCAAAACUCAGAUGAGACCUCAUUUGUCUUAACCUGGCUCCAAAAGUAUGUGGCAAAUGGAGACUAUGCAGGAUUAUUAAGAGUGUGUUAGUCAGUGUGUAUGAGUGCAGGCCUGUUUUAAAGAACCCUGAGCACCGCUUGUCAUGGUGUGCUGCUUUUCUAGAAAGGCCUUAAACUCUACCCACUGCUACACUGAACUAGAGAUCACAGGGUAAAGGUAAAGAGAAAGAAAAAUGCAAAUGACAGAAGAAGAAAAAAAACAAUGUUAGGCUAAUUGUCAUCAUGUUUUUGGAUGUUUGAAGAUGGCUUUAAAGUUUCAAACAUCUUGGAUGUUUAAUGAUUAAAAAUGUUGAUGGAAAUUUAAUAAAGAAAGUUCUUUAUAGACUAAAAAUUUUGGGAUUACAGUGUCAGAUAUCUGGGCCCAUAUUUUCCACAUGAACCUGGUCCACACACACUCCCUCACACCCCCUCCUUCAUUGCAGACCUAAUGAAGAAUUCCAGUUGCCAGGCUGGGCGGGCGCAGCUCGGACAGUGGGGAUUUUUCAUCCUGUAAUGUUGGCACGGGUCAUUAAUUGUGCCUUGCCAUGAGACCAGUGGGCUUGUCAUUUGGGUAUAGCACCUCUAUACAUCUCCUAAACCCCACCCACUCCACACACACAUAUACACCCCCCCACACACACACACACUUACUUCCCCUUGCUCAUCCUCUGGGUGUGUCAGGGUGCACGGGUGGUCUGGACGCCCACCCGUGCACCCUGCACAAUGGACUGACCCACUUACUGUCACUAACUGAUGACCCCUCCCUCAGGGUUUAGACAUUCAUGCUCACUGACGUGUUCAUGGAAAAGACAGGGAAAUACGUCAUCCUAAUCCAACUCUGUGUGAACUCAAAAUGGGCUCUAUGGACUGAGUCUUUGGUGUCACUUAAUUGUUAUUGUUACCUUUCCUACUAAUUAGCCAGCUGUAUAGUUGAUCCUGAUUGAUCAAAACACCAUAAAAAUGGAUCCUAGUUCUUAUACUGCUUUCCAGUUGUACUCAAAAGUCGGAAUUUCUGAGAUCUGAGUCGGAAAUUCAUCUGGAAUGCCCCCCUGAAGUCGGAUUUCCGACUAGGAAAGUCAGACGAUCCUCACCAACCCCGACUUGACAACAAUGUCAUAAUCCAAGAUGGCAGCGCAGUGCAUCAACAGUAAAGAGUAACAUGGAAAGCUCUCAUAAUGUAAAAUUUAUUAGCACUUCUGUUUUGUUUUUGUGAAAAUAAAUAAGUGGUAUAUGUUGUACUGCCCAACGUCUAACUGUGAACACUGUGCUAUGGUGUUUGUAAGAGUAAAAUACUGUAUUAUUAUGCGUUGUAUAGCCAACAACAACCAACAACAGCUGACAAUCACUAACAACAACUGACAACAGCUAAGGACAGCUGACAAUUGUAAACAAGAGCUAACAACGGCUAACAGUAGGCAUCCAUCUUGGUUUUCCUACUUGUUUACUGGGACGCCGGGUGUAGGGUCAUUCCCAGCGCUGACAUCAGACUUCUGAGGUAACGCAGUAUUCGUAGCAAAAUCAACAGUGGAACAUUCAUAUCACACACACCAUAUCAAAUCAUUUCAAUGAAAAGGAUCCGGCAUGUGUCAUUUCAGCCUGUUGAUGCUGUGGGGAAAACAUCAUUUUCCAGUUAGUGGGCAUUUAAGGGAGGGCAGCUACUGGACCCCAAUCAUCUCUGAUAGGUAAAGGUAGAGCAACAUCUUGUCCUGCAAUCCAUGCAACAACAGCAUUUCAGUAGAGCUGAACACCACCCACUAAGUUGUUGCUGAUAUGAGUAUAAAUUUAUAUAUUUAGUUGGUAGGUAAGCAACAAGUAGGGAUGACAUAUUGUUAGCCGCAUCAGGGUCGUGAUCCUGUUAGGACUCUAUUUUCACUGGUUAAUUAUACACUCACCAGCCACUUUAUUAGGUACACCUGUCCAACUGCUCGUUAACACUUAAUUUCUAAUCAGCCAAUCACAUGGCGGCAACUUAGUGCAUUUAGGCAUGUAGACAUGGUCAAGACAAUCUCCUGCAGUUCAAACCGAGCAUCAGUAUGGGGAAGAAAGGUGAUUUGAGUGACUUUGAACGUGGCAUGGUUGUUGGUGCCAGAAGGGCUGGUCUGAGUAUUUCAGAAACUGCUGAUCUACUGGGAUUUUCACGCACAACCAUCUCUAGGGUUUACAGAGAAUGGUCCGAAAAAGAAAAAAUAUCUAGUGAGCGGCAGUUCUGUGGGCGGAAAUGCCUUGUUGAUGCCAGAGGUCAGAGGAGAAUGGCCAGACUGGUUCGAGCUGAUAGAAAGGCAACAGUGACUCAAAUAACCACCCGUUACAACCAAGGUAGGCAGAAGAGCAUCUCUGAACGCACAGUACGUCGAACUUUGAGGCAGAUGGGCUACAGCAGCAGAAGACCACGCCGGGUGCCACUCCUUUCAGCUAAGAACAGGAAACUGAGGCUACAAUUUGCACAAGCUCAUCGAAAUUGGACAAUAGAAGAUUGGAAAAACGUUGCCUGGUCUGAUGAGUCUCGAUUUCUGCUGCGACAUUCGGAUGGUAGGGUCAGAAUUUGGCGUCAACAACAUGAAAGCAUGGAUCCAUCCUGCCUUGUAUCAACGGUUCAGGCUGGUGGUGGUGGUGUCAUGGUGUGGGGAAUAUUUUCUUGGCACUCUUUGGGCCCCUUGGUACCAAUUGAGCAUCGUUGCAACGCCACAGCCUACCUGAGUAUUGUUGCUGACCAUGUCCAUCCCUUUAUGACCACAAUGUACCCAACUUCUGAUGGCUACUUUCAGCAGGAUAAUGCGCCAUGUCAUAAAGCUGGAAUCAUCUCAGACUGGUUUCUUGAACAUGACAAUGAGUUCACUGUACUCAAAUGGCCUCCACAGUCACCAGAUCUCAAUCUAAUAGAGCAUCUUUGGGAUGUGGUGGAACGGGAGAUUCGCAUCAUGGAUGUGCAGCCGACAAAUCUGCGGCAACUGUGUGAUGCCAUCAUGUCAAUAUGGACCAAGCUCUCUGAGGAAUGCUUCCAGCACCUUGUUGAAUCUAUGCCACGAUGAAUUGAGGCAGUUCUGAAGGCAAAAGGGGGUCCAACCCGUUACUAGCAUGGUGUACCUAAUAAAGUGGCCGGUGAGUGUAUAUUAUCCCUUUGAUUGUACAAACUGGGUGGACACAUUGGCUUGACUUGUGCAACACAGUUAUCAUACUGCAUGUGUUGAAUAUAUGUCAAUAUAUCUUUUUUUUUUCUUAAUACUGCUCUCCAAACAGUUUAGCUUCCAGUCUGUCCAACCAUUCCCCUAACUCUAGACUCUGUAGUAGUGCUAAUGACACUAAUACUGAAUUUUACCCCUGUGGUCAGCAUAAACUGAUCAUUGUGGUGGUUAGGUUCAUCCAGAAUCUAAAUUGUGAAAUUUUGGGGCACUCAUUCCUUAUGGGCUUACUUUGCUCCCCUGUGCACAUUUUUAACUACAAACAAGCUAUACAAAUAUACUGUAUAAUUCUACUUACCUACCGAAUGGCUUAGUUGCCCUGGCCUUUCUUGUUGCCUCAGAUUGGCUUCCAAUAAUAAGGUUUAAGAACAAAUAUGGAGCAUUACUUUACAUCAGUGUAUUGUAAUUGGUGUGAUAUGCAACAUGACAGCAUAUGGUGACAGGCUGUUUUUGGGACACUUGCACUUCUUUUUUAUUGAGAUAAAUUUCUUAAAAUCAAACAAAUUGCCCACAAUGACUUUAAUGUUCAUCCUGCUUCCCUUUCCAUUCCUUUCUUCUCUCGCUGUUAUUAAUAAAACUAGAUAUUUGUAUAAACACAGAAUCAGCUCCUUCUAAACAUGCCAGUUCCAGCAUGCUCACAUGUUAAGAAUAGCUCAGUAGGUGUGUGUAUGACAGCACUAAGACCGCUUUUUACACACUCUGGCAUCAAUACUGACAGCUUAUCGCUACCUCACAGCGCGACCUAAACAAAGCCUUUAUUUGUCUCCUUUUUUGAGGGCAGAAAGAAUUCCCAAAUAAAGGAAAUGGGCUCUUAGUUUCUCCGGCAUUAGGGAGGAGGACAAAGAAAGUGAGCGAGACAAUCAGCGGAGACCCCGAUGAACAAUUUCAGCCUUAUUUAUUGGUUUUUGGGAUUUCCACGGCUAAUUUGCUGUGAAAUGCAGCAAUGGACAUGGAGAUAAUUUCUUGAACAAAACCUCCAGUAAUUAGUGUGUGGCCAGAUUCUGGAGAGCAUCCCCUGGUACAACUCUUGCUGGCUUUGGCUCAGGGCUGGCACAGGAACAGGAGGAGCUACUUUUAUCCCAUCCUCCUCUCCUUAAGAUCCUUCUUCACCUCCUCAUCAUCCUCACCCCUCCUUCUCGUUGUCAUUUCCCUUUGUCUCAUCUCUUCCCAGCAACAGUGAGUGAUGUCUGCCAACUUGCUGUUAAAAUAUUUGUGGGCCAGAUGCAGUAUUUAAUUUGCAAAUAUGACGCCUAAUGCCUGAGGGCUGACAGCACUGUUACUGUACCUUUAAAUCGUGUCGUGAAGAUGGCAAAGAUAGACAAUACUAAAGCUAGGUGAUGGAAAGUAAGAGUUAAGACAGACAGAUACAGUGUUUUCUGAGGAGUUUUCCAAAUUGACCACAGAUGAUCUUCAUAAAAUCAAGAAGCUUCAGUUUUAGUCCAUAUUAGUCCGAAAGAGAUUUGUUGCUAUUAGCAGAUAACCUAUGGUUUGAAGUUCCAGAGGUGAUGGUGGCCAUCGAAAACGAGAAGCUCCUGUGAUGCAUGAGAAGUUUGAUCCCCCAUUUGUCAAAUUAGUCCAGUGCACUGGUAAUGGAGUAGUUUGAGGUUGCAGUGUGUGGCUCAAAGACCCUUAAUGUUGGAGUUAGGGUCAAUCUAUCAAUAUUUCAACUGAGACAUGAGUCUUUUACGACAGACCCACAGCCUACCCAAUCAACCAAAAAAAGUUCACAGAUUUUGGAGAAAAUUAGGUCCAGGAGUUCGUCCCUCUUACUGGGGUACUUAACUUAAAAAUCUGUUUACUGUGCUUUAUGCCGGACAAAGGAAAUAACAAAUGAGCCAGCUGUGUUGACAACUUGAUUCUGACUUUUCAUAAUGUCCUGACAGCCCCUUAACAACAAGAGCAACUUUAGAGACAACCUGAUUACACUGCAGAGAAGAGUUCAGGCAUAUUGAGGCCCGGUCCCUGUCUGCAUACUAACCUGCAGGGCUUCAUAACAUGACUAGUGUGUCCUGCUGGAGGACGCAGUUUUUACUGAUCACUUCAAAGAAACUUGAACCAGGGGUCUCAGUGAUAGUAGCAACAGAAGUAAAAGUUGUGAGCUUUGCCUUAUUUAUGUUAAAAGGUGUGUUAAAUGCAAAACUCCCAGAAGUCAAUAUUAUAUCCACGCACAAGACCUGUGUACCUCGCCUGUUACAACUUUCAAUGGAAGUAUCCCAUCUAAUGCACAUAAUAACAAAAAAGGUAGUAUUCCUGCAGAAGGUCCUUUUACUCUUUCUAACAUCAUCUACACAAAAUUUUUAUCGAAUAGGCGUGAUAAUUUCAUUACUUGAGUCAGCUGACAGUUUAAGUUCUUGUUGUAUCAAGACGCGAAAAAGAACACAGAAUCUAUGACCAGGUUAGAGCUACUAACCGUGGGUGUGAUGGAACUUUUGUUUUAAUUAAUGCAAAUGCAAUUUUUAAGUCAAUAUAAUUGCCUUCACAUCAAAUUUUAGUGAGUAAAUAAAGUGAGUAAAUACAAAAGCUAGCAUCAUGUAUUUAGCCCUCAGAACAGGGACUGUGGCAUCUUGAAGCUAAUUGUUUUCAUUGACUGAAAUGUUUCCCUCUUUGUGAAUUCUCUCUGCUCUCAUCAGCUUUGUUAAAACAUCAGAAAGUGUUUUAUUUCAGCAAACAGAAAAAGUUUGACAAUAGCUCACCAGAUGGUUUUAAAAAUCAGAGUUAAAAAAAAAAAGGUCCAUGUGUUAAAAAAGUUGGAAUUAUCCUUUAAAAAUGGUAAUUCUAGUGGGUGUGUUUCAUUGGUGUCACUGCUGGUGGAUCAGAUGGAGACACAUGAUGGGAGCGUUUAUAUUUCAAAGCGUUGGGCUCGUUGGUUGGGGGGAUUGUAAAUAACAGAGCAGGGGGGUCCCGGUUAACAUCUGCAAACUGCCUUGGCAGAGGCGGACCUUCCUCUUCCUCCUCCAGCUCUCCAUCCCUACUGUGGCCAAUUAAGUGAAUUUCAGCAAAAGAGCAUUUUAUUAGUAUUUGCCCACAGCCGCAGAACACAGCAAUAAAUUCUUCCUUCCAGCUCUUUGGAAAACAAAUUGGCACAUUAACCAGUGAAUGGCUGGAAGAGGCUCUCUUGCCCGUAGCUCCAGGGCUGGCCAGGGGAUCUGCGAGUGUGCCGAUUCAGAGGCAAUCUCUCUGCUUUAUCAUUCAGCGUGACAGUAUGGGGCUGGAGCGCAGGACUCAGAUGGGGGCGACCGAUGCCAGAUGUCAGCCAUUAGCUCUUUCUCUCUGUAGCUGCUCUCUCUACAUGCACAAAUACAUACGCACGCCCUCCAACAUUGACUCCCUCUGUUCCCUUUGGCAAGCCCAAGCUGUUUGCUUUUGUGGCCUGACGAGCCCUCUCUAUUUAUCUGUUAUUAUAUUGGAAUUGUCAGAUCCAAAAACCAAGAGGGAGCCCGCUGUGUGUGCCAGCACUGUUGGCUGCAGGUCUGUGUGUCUCCUCUCCGACCCCUCCUUCAUUCACACUCACUCCCGCUAUCGAUCAACUUCAAUCUGACGUGAGAAAACCACACAGCCUCUCUGUCUGUGUGUACACUGUAUGUGUGUGCGCGCAUUUUGUAUACACUACCAGACUCCAGCUCCAUUUGCAUUAGCAGCUAACUGACUUUUUGCCUCCCACCAUCCUGCCUGGCUUCAUGCCCCCCCUCUACCCGCUCCACCACUGCAUCAGAGGGGCUUUCAGCAGUGCUAAUGAGGAUUAGCAUGUUUGUGUUGUUUAUAUGUGUGUCACCCUAAUCCUUUUAGCAAUAAGCUGUUUUGCAGGAAGUAGGAGUAAUUUAUGCAUGGCACAUGUUUCGUUGGGUUGUACAUUGGCAGGAUGGACAUCCACACAGGCUGGUGCAGGAUGAUGUUUGACAACUAAAGAUCCCAUCAGUUAAUAACCCACGACGUACAAAUAAAUAUCCAAUAGCUGCCAGUAAUUGGUACAACAAGUGGUCUCUAGAGGUGGGCUCAGUGUAACCACAGAGAUACAGACCUGGCACAUACAGUGCAGUAAAAGAAAUUUGAGAAAUGACACUUUAUUCUUGUGUGUCUCUGCCAAACAGCCAAGUUGCAGUUUGCAUCCAUGUUCCUAUUAGACAGAUCCUGCAAGGCUGAAGAGAUACUUGCUGUCUGUGCUUGUCUGCACAUGUGUAUUCGGCUGAUGCAUGAGCAUGAUUGCUUUACAAACUGAACACCUUACCAGAGGAUACCUUUAGGGGGCACACCAGAGUUUAGGCCAUAUGCAACUACUGGCUAUAUUUGAAAGAUAUAAACAAGAGAGAUGACAGAUCUCACAGAGGUUACAGUCAGAGUUGGGGACUCAAGUUUUAGACUUGGACUCAAGUCGCACUGCCUUGACUUCAGACUUGACUCACUGAGCUUUCUCACUCAUGGACCAUGAAUAUGAAGGCUGCUCAUGCGUAACUACAGACAAGUUUGAGUCCAUCUUGAUCUGUAUACACCACUAUCCAAAAUCAAAGAAUUACCAACACUGUUUGUUCCUCCUGCCUGUGUACACUGCAAAAAGCUGAAGAUGUACAUAGCCAGAUUUGGGGCAGCUAUUGUGUGCAGUUACAUGUAGUUAACAUCUACGAAAUAAAUCUAGAUGGGACUUUUUUAUAGUUUCAUCUUUCAAAAGAAAAAAAAAAAACAAAACAAAAAAAAAAACAUACCUAAAGAAAAUAAAAGUAAAAUAAAAUAGAUUUUGUGUGUCUGUCGUAGGCAGUCAUAGAUUUUCUUUGUGCUCAUCCAAUUAACAGAGAAGAUUUUAAAGGAGGUGAAUUUGGAACCAGUAAAGCAAUAUAUUUCAAGUAGGACUAAUCUAUUUCAAAACAAAAGACCUUAACCCAGAGUUAAACAUUUAGAUUUUUUACUGAUUUGGGACUUUUUUGUAUUGGAUAAGUUUUCAGAUAGUUAACAAAUAAAGUAAAAGCAUGAAAGCAUGUUUUUAAUGGUGAAACAUAAUCUAAUUAUGACUUAUAAGAAAGGUGAGACUCAAAGUAUUUGUGCAGAAAUUUAAGACGCUUUUGGAAAUCCUAAUAUCCUGACAAGACGACUGGGACUUCUAUUCAGAGGCAUUGUGAAGUCCUGUGUACAGAUGUUAUUAUCCCUCUUUUUAACAUUCAAAACAUUUGAGAAAAAUUGUAUUUAACAUUGUGUUUGUAUUCUGAAGUUAUUGGGAAACUUUUGAAACCCUUUGACCACAACUUUGUAGUUUAAAGAAGACAUUUAAUCCAAAUUUGAAGAUCCAUUCAGGUGUUGUGGUGCAAAUUAACCUACUAUUGUAGCUUUAUACAUAUGAUAUAAGGGGGAAAAAGUAGUGUGAGGCAAAAAUUUUGAGCUGUCCUGAUGUUUCCGUCUGAUUUCAAAUGAAAACUUAAGAUGCUGUAAUCUUGCUUGCACUUUUGUCUGGAUUGGGACUUCCUUGCAUGUGAGACACAGGGAUAUGGGACCCAGUCAAUGAGUCCUGGUGGUUGUUGGAGAAAAAGGUGCCAGGCCUGGGCUGUGGGCCCUCUCAGUGUCAAGCCCUGUCAGUCAGAGCAUGCUGCUCCCCCUGGGGCUUUCAUCCUCUCCAAAACCCCGGCCAUCCCCUCCUCCAGUCCCCACAGGCCCAUCAAAGGCUGAGGCGCGCAGCCAGGGACAGGUGGGAGGCAGGGGAGGCAGGGGGAAGGCUGAGGAGGCCGGUGAGCCAGCAUCUGAGCCCAGGGAGGGUGCUGGGCUCUGGCCAGUAACUGAACUGAAAAUAGUCCUGCCCUGACACGCAGGCCUGAAGGCGCAUGUGGCUCCAAAAACACACAAAUACAUACACAUACACAGUUGGAGAAUUUACCUUGCACCAACAAACACAUGCAGCACAAGGCCAUUAGAUUUUAAUGGGAUCCAUUCAUUGAUGUUAUGGCUCUGCUGCAUCAAUAAAACAUUAAAAAAUGUUGAGGCGACACACUUCAUAAAUCUGUUUAACAACACACUAUUUCGGCACCUGCAGUGGACAUAACUCCGUAUGGAUUUUAUAGACAUAUACUGUACACAGUAUACUGCAAUAAAGUGGGAGCUACAUCUGAACAGGCAAAGGCAUAUAACUUCAACUCAUAACAUUGCUGGAUUGAGUCUAUCCUGGAUGCUCUUUUAGAGGCCUUUACAGAUCCCCCUGGACUUCAGGGCCUGAGAUUUGCUCUGGGAUUCAUACUUGUUCAUUGUUAUUUUAUUCACUGUCACGUGGGUGCAGGUCAGGUUCUAUUCUCUUUGCUUGGGUCUGGGGUCUGAUUCUCUUUACUUGCAGCAUAUAUGGGGAUCUAAGAAUUUUAGUGAUCUGCACUGAUAAUGAUAGAAUCGCUGUCCAGCAUUUGCAUGGAUAUCAGGCAGAUUUUUAAUGAGAUUAGAGGACUGCAACUUUUGAAGUACGACAGGGCUGGCACAUCGAAAUCAAAUCAGGAUCAAGAUAGAAAAUGCAUUUUUUACAGACAUGAAACCCCCAAUUCUUCUGGAGUUAGAAUGUUGUGUAAAAUGUGAAAUAAAACCAACAUUAUUGUGGUUUGCAAACCAUUUAUAAGCCUGUAUUUGGUGUCAAGACGUUAGAAUUUAAAUAAAAGCGAUUGUUUUCGGGAAAAGCCCAUUUUAACUUUGAUGCCUGUAACAUGUUUCAAGACAUUUGGGAAACGGGCCACAAAACACUGACAAAUAUGUGUAACACUUAAAAAAACACUUGUGGACAUCAUUAAACCAGAUAGGCUUAUUUGUAACAGGUUAGUGACACAACUGUGUAUCAAAAGAGUGGCUAAGUCUCACAGAGAUAAUGACGCGAAGAAAUUCAUCAUUCUGUGAGAGGCUGGGUGAGAAAAUAGUUCAUCAGUUCUGUAAUAUGGUUUCAUUGUGUAAAUACAAAAUUUGGGAUUUCAUCAUCUACAUGAAAUCAUCAAGAGAUUCAGAGAGUCUCAGUAUAAAAAACAAGGUCUUACACCAAGACCUGAUGUGACCCAUAUAAAACAAGAUAUGUCUCUGCACUGGAAAUCACUGCAUAGGCCAAAAAUCCUGUUAAAAAACUAUUUUCUGUGAACACAUUUAGUGCUGCAUCCACUCGCAGUUUAAAACUGCACCAUGCAACGAAGAAACCAUAUAAACAUGAUCCAGAAACAGCAGGAACUUUUCUGGGCUGGGGAUCAUUUGAGAUGGACUGAGGCAAAGUAAAAACUGUCCUGUGAGCCAACAAAUCAAAAUUUCACAUUUAAGUUGGAAUUUGUGGACCCUGCAACCUCACUACAAACAGAAUAACCAACUGGAUUUGUUUCAGGUGGUUAUUUUUUCAGGUAGAAAAUCAGAGCACAUUUUAAAAUCCGCCAUUGGUGAUGAUAUGAGGAUGCAAAAGUGACCACGGCAAAGUGUACUUGUGGCAAUAUAUACUGCCAUUCAGGUGAUGCCUUUCUUUUUCAAGACCCUGUGAAAUUCAGAUACAAGGGGCUAGGGGUGGGAGACAAAAUCCAUUUUUUUUUCACAUUUAAGAAUAAAUCUUAAAAGCUGACUUACAUGUGAUUUGUAUUUUUUGGGGAAAUAUGGUUCCUGGACUAAUCAGUAGACAAUCAUAAUCAUUCAACUGUUUCACUGGUGUUAAAAAUGCAGACUAAAAAUCGAGAAAAUCUACAGUAUUGUGGAGUCGCAAUUUAAAUCGAAUCGGCAUCCAAAAAAAUGUAGAAGAAUCAAAUCAGGAGAAAAGCAUAUCGUCUCAGCCCUAAAGAAGAGGCCAUACUAGGCUCAAAGGUUUUACAGCAGCAUGGCUUUGUAGUGAUAGAGUGACCUGCCUGUAGUCCUGACUUGUCUCCAGUUAAAAAACAUUUGACUCAUCAUGACAAAUGAAUUAUGACAAAGGAAACCCCAAACUGUAGAGCAGCUGGAAUUCUGUAUCAGACAAAACUGGGAAGACAUUUCAGGUAGAACAUUUCAGACACUGACCUCGAGUGUUGUUAAAAGGGUCUUUUUCUAGCCUUUCUUCCUGCUCAUGCAAAAGUUCAUUUCUUUCAUAUUGCAGACAAAAUCAGGUCAGAUGGAUACAUCUUUAGGAAUGGUAUCAUACACCAGAACAAACAUCCCAACUCCAUCAGGGUGCAGGUCCAUCAUCAUGAACCCUCAAAGACCUCUCAUGCUUUUGUUUCAGCCCUUCUGUGGAAGAGGGAGAAAAGCCAGUGUCCAUCCUCCACAAAGGGUUAACUCUGUAUCACACCGGUGAGGCCACUCAAGCCAUCGAACCUAUUUUCCUCCCGGUGUCCCAGUCCCCCGUCCUUUUUAGAUUUUAAACUUCCCCUGCCACCUUCCAUUUUAUGCCGGUGUAAAUGAGUUCCCCCACAAAAUCUAUAGUGCGUCUUUAAAAAGCGAUAACUCUCAUGGCGGUACCGUGACAUUGACCCCCCUAGCAGGGCAGUUCCGGUUCAGUGCCCAGGCCUCAUGCUUGCUCGAACACACACACACACACAAACAUACAGGACACACUCAUAUAUUCGCACACGCACACACACACAUACAGGGCCAGACCCCAGGUGCACCAAGAGGAGCAGUUAAAUUUCAUCAUUACCCUUUCUUCCCCGUGUUGGGGCUUUUUAUAGGGCCUUUUUACGGCCCGCUCUGAAGGUGCCACUCUGGUCCCAACGGUGCACAGGAGAGAGAUAGAUAGAUGGAGAGGGACGUAGAGAGGGGAAGACGAUAGGGAAGGGCGGGAGGUGGAGGAAGGAGAUCUGCACGAGAGGGGGGGGAAUAAGGAGGAGGUGAGAAAGCCUGCAUGAAUGCCCACAAACAUGCACACUGUCAGGCGUACAAGCAAAGCAAGUAGGGCACUGGGGAGCGAGAAAAAAGAGGUAUGGCACGAGAAAGACUUGUGGGGGAAAGAAGAAAGAAAGGGAGAAAGGGAGGGAGGGAGGGUGAGAGAGUGAGGGAGAAAGAGGGCCAUCAGUUGUCAGUGUGACUGCUGGCUGAUAUAAAAACAGUGGCGAGGGUGGCGGAUAAGGCGGAUGAUGAAUGGGCUGGAGACACUCAUCCAUCCCACUGAAGGAUUUGCGGCCAGGGAGUCGUGUACAGACACAUCUAAGAAAGAAAGGACUGUGUGUGUGUGUGUGUGUGUGUGUGUGUGUGUGUGUGUGUGUGUGUGUGUGUGUGUGUGUGUGUGUGUGUGUGUGUGUUUUAAGAAGGUGUGAUGGACUGGCGAUAGCAAGAUGGGACAAGGCAGAAAUAAGGCUUUCUCUGAAAAUUUUCGUGUGUGUGUGUGUGUGUGCCAGACUGUGUGCUCACUGCUAGCUAGCUGCUACAUGUCAGUGUUGUGCAUGGAUGCCGGACAUGCUCAUGUGCAGACUUCUAUGACAAACCCCGAUGUAGCAGCAAGGCGAUGACAGGCCUCCACCCUGGAAGAUAUAUGGCUGUGCUGCUGUCUAACUCUGUACAGGCCCAUCCAUAUCCCUCACCGCUAUCAGCACUGUCCAACUCUGUUUUAUAGCACCAAACAGUGGCCAUAAUGACACUAGGACUCUGAACGUGUCAGGCUGGAGUAGAUCGAUUGGUAAACAUACACACUUGGCUGAGAUACACUUGUACAUCAUUGUCCUGAUUUUCAGGGAGGAGCUGUAACACAGGUUGAGGUAUAUUGAACAAAAAGGUGUAUUCAGGAAAUUUCUUCAAAUAUGGGUAUGAUCUCUAACACUCAGGGGGCAUAGAACUGAAAUAUGAAGAUUUUUACAACAAUUUGACCUCUACUAAAAAGAAAAACUUGCUCAGGUUCAGUUUACCAGUUUAACCCUUAAGACUCACAGUGUCUCAAAAUAAGAAUCAUGUUUUUUUUUUUUUUUUCCCCCUUAUUUCUAGAAAUUUCAGAUGGACAGAUCAUGAAAUCUUGGUCUGAUACUGAUGCAAGUUCUCCACAGAAACAGUUUAGCCAAUACCAAUGUUUUUGCAUUCCUCUUUUGUAAAAUUGUUUUUCUGCUUUUUAAAUGGGCUGUGAAUUUUGAGGUAUCGAAAUAGUUACUACUGCGUCCCUUGAAGUCCGUCUUGAAAUGUCUUUGUCAUCAUAUAAGGUUAUAACUCCAUGGUUAUUGUGGCCAUGAAAUAUUACAAUAACAAUAUCACAACAAUAUUUAUGGACUUCUUGAAAACACAGUCUGUCAAAUUACAGAGAGGCAAGAGAAGUAAUACUGGGACAUCCUAAGUCUCUACUAGUAUUUCUCAGAGUCUUUGAUAUUUGUUAUAUUUCCACACUUGGCAUUGUUUGUUUUUAAUCAGUUUGCCCAGCAGGGGGUUUUUCUGCCUAGUUACAAAAAAACCUUUGAGCUUGCAAUAAGGUGCAUCAGCUGUGCAGAUUUACAUCAAUGUAAGAAACAUUAAGAUAGGUAGAUAAACAUCAACUACUGACAUUAUUGCAUGACGCAUUACAUGCUGAUGUGCUAAUAUCAGUCAAUAGAGCCAAUAUCCAAUACUUGUGGUUAUAUAACCUGUACAUUUUCAUCACUGCUAAUAAAUACAAUUGUAGAACUCUGUCUGGGGAGGAGGAGAGAUAACAGGAGGACAGAGGAUGGGAAGGAGUAGCAGCAGUAGUUGUUGUUGUUGUAACAGUAAUGUGCAAAUGUCCAGAGUUUUGAAUAAUAAUAAUAAUAAGAAGAAGAAGAACUAUAAUGCACUUUACUUAUGUAUAUGUGCCUUUCCAAACACUCAAGGUCGCUGUACAAGAGAGGGUUAAAACAAGACAAACAAAUAAGUUGUCCACAAAAUAAUAAAUAAUAAAACGACAGUCAGGCUAAAUGUGCUAAUUUAAAAAUAUGGGUUUUAAGAUGAGAUUUUAAAAUAGAGAGAGUUGAUAUUACAGAUGUCUGAAGGAAGGGAGUUCGAGAGUCGAGGAGCAGAGCGACUAAAGGCUCUGGAGCCCAUGGUGGUCAAAUGGGCAGAUAGGACAGUGAAGUUGAGAGAGGAAUGGGGAUCUAAGAGAGCGAGAGGGGUGCUGAUGUGAAGGAGGUUGGAAAGGUACAGAGGAGCAAGGUUAUGGAUGGCUUUGAAGGUCAAAAGCAGAAUCUUAAAAUUGAUGCGAUAGCUGACUGGGAGCCAGUGUAGCUGCUGAAAAUCUGGAGUGAUGUGAAUGCUGGAUGGGGUUCUGGAAAUGAUGCAGGCGGCACAGUUGUGGACAUACUGAAGUUUGUAAAUAUUUAAACUAUCUGAAGUUCCUCAUAUACAUAUUAAAUAUUUGAUCAUUCAUUUUUCUUUUCUGUACAAACAAUGUUACUGUAAUUUUUAUUUCUUUGAGGAAAGCUUCCCAAAGGGCUAGCUAAAGUUGUAUCUAAUCUAAUCGAAUCUGAUCUGAAAGACCAAGCUGUAUAAGAUACUUGUUUUUCAUUGGUCAAAACCACAUAACAGUUGUCAGUUGUCAUAUCAAAGUAACUUAAAACUAUAGCGUAAGUGAUGCUAGCAAGUAUGUAAAAAAUUGACUUUUUCAUGUUUUUCAACAUAAGCAGAUAGAAGCCUGUAUUUUCAAUCCAAUACAAGGAUCGAGGAUAUAUUUAUUCUCAGAGUACAACAGUACUCAGGUACUUACAUUGGCUCACUUCCUUCGGACUGCCCCUUUAUCAACAAAGAAGAAAUGGUGGUGGGAUUCUUCCUUAAAUCCACAGUUAUUUCUUUUGCUUUUUAAAACAUUGAUCAUUAAAUAGCAUGGAUGACAAUAAGUGUAUCUGCAGGAUCAGUUCAUACUGUGAUGGUUCAUUCUCAUUUCUGCUUCUUUCUAGCCGACUUAUACUCUUUAAAAUUAUGAUUAUUUUCAUGGAUAGCCUGAUAGCCUCAUACUAAUUCAGAUCAAUAGUGUGAAUGUUUGCAAGAAUACCUUCAACAUGCCUCACAAAGCACACAGUUUCUGAUUUGACUUGAACAGGAACGAUAUAUAUCUAAACACACCUGUCUGCUUAAAUGUAAGUCCUUCUCCAAGCAUCACCUAAAUAGUUUCAAGCUGCACACAAACAGUGUUGCACCCUGACAGCCUCAAUUAGCUGUGAGAGAGAACUGGUGAUCCGCACCAAGAAACCCUGUGAGACAUCAGUAAAUUAAAUGUCUUCUAAGUGUGUUUUGGGGGUUGUUGAAGGGGUUCAACCUUUCUGUCCAUCUUCUGGAGGAUAGUCCUCUCUGUGGAUAAAGCAUUUCUAUGCAUGUCUGUUUAAAAACUGUUUUUUGCAAAAGGCCUGUCCCCCUCCAUGCAUCCCUCACUAAAAUCCAGAGUUAAGAAAUUCCUCAUCUUCCUUACUCUGUACAUGUGGUCAUUUAUGGUCACCAGAGGAUUACCCCCUUUAGAUACUCCUGAGAGAAACAGCAUGCAAGGAACUUAAAAUUAAAAGGAUUUUUAUUGGGGAGGACAUUCAAAAUGUAAUCCUGCAGCUCUGUAUAAAAGACAGAGAUCGGUUGUGUGGUUUGUCUGUGUAGUUCUCCAGUUCUGAGGCCUUCCAAGAGAAGUUCAGCCACUCUGUUCCCCCUCACCAGUGCCAAUGUCACUGCCUUGUGUUUCAUGCCAGCCUCAGCAGGCGCCGGUCCUCUGCUUGCACCCCAUGCCCCGGGUCUUUGCAAACUCCCCCAUGUGCAUAUGCUCCGUAUGGUUCAAGCACUGACGCCAAUUUUCCACCAUCUGCCCAUGCCCUGUACUUACACACAGAGGCAAGGUCUCCGCUGGAUAGCGACCGCCACCCUUCACCUUGUCUGAGCGCAGAAAUUUCAAAUGUUAACUUGCAGCCCGCAGGAGUAGAGAGUGAUCCGCAACCGCCAUGCUGAGGAAACAGCAGAAUGUGCUCACGUUAGGGGACAGAGAGUGAAUUCGCAUCUUCCAUUUCAUUUUGUUUCCCUUUUUCUUUCCCUGCUUAGUGUUUCCUCCCUCAGUUUCCUCCCUUCAAUGCUUCCCUGCUUCUCCUCCUUUUUCUCUUUUUCUUCCUUUGCCUUCCCUCUUCUCCCUCUCUUCAUCUAGCCUUCUCUCUAGCUCUGUGCUUCCCCCUUGCUCGGUCUUGCAAAUGGCUGCCCGCCAACGGUUUGUCUGCGGAGAAAACAGAUUUGAAUGAAGAAUGGAGACAAAAGAGGGAACAAAGAGGCAGUAAAAGGCGCUACACACAAAGAGACGUGUGCCUGUUGGAGACGCACAGUUUGUAUGUAAGCGUUUUUUUUCUUAUGUGUGUGUUCAAGGGUCUUUGCUGUACAGUGGGCAGCAGUCCAAGACUGGAGGGUAAUCCUUUACCUCGGCUUUACCACUGGGAAUGUCAGGAAUAAGUCAAUCAUGAUGAUGCAUGCACUCUGCUGACGACACAUACACGUGUUCAAAGAAUAUCUGGAGCUUGCAGAUGUGCCAGAACCCCGCUUUGCCGACAUCAGGGUGCAGUUUAUGAUGAUAGGCAGAUACACACAUCCAUCCUCAGACACGCACACACACACGUAAAGCCAUGAAGGCAAGGCCAGAUAAGCAGAUUAUUUGAAGGAGGCAUUAUUCACUGUAUGAAUGCAAUAAUUGGUUUCAUUAUUUGGUGGGAAUUUCAGCAACACUAAAUGAAGCAUUAGAUAGUGUUUGGUUCCCCAAAGCAGGCUGGAGUUGGUGCGAGCUGCUCGCCCACCACAGGCCUGUGUUCACAUGUUGUGUUUUCAGGCUCUUAUCUCAAAUCACAGCGAGCGAGGCUGCUUCUGCUGCUGCUGCUGCUUUUAUUUGUUUAAAGGUGGUGUUUCAGAAAAAGAAUUCAAUAUUUGGAGGAUAUUUUGUGCAUUUCUUUACCCCACAGGAUUGUCUGUCUGUCUCUGUGUGUAUGUGUGUGUGUGUGUGUGUGUGUCCUGCUUUGUAUGUGUGUAUAUUCUCUCUGUCAGGGAAACAGUGGUGGGCGGGCUGAGGGGUGGGGAGGCCUACUUUAACGGUCUUUUGAAGGAGAUAAAUGGCUUACAGAUGGCCCAAUCAAUAUAUUUAAAUGAGACACAGAGGCUAGCAAUGAGCAUUGAGCAGAGAGCUGGGGGCGAGGUGGUGGUGGGGCGAAGAUGGUGGAGGCCAAAACACCUCAGGUCAUGACUAGACGGACCACACAGCAAAGGUGCAACCUCAGAUCUAGAAGCACUCACAUAUUGAGUGUUUUUUUUAUGUUAAACUGCUCAGACACUUAACAAUCUGACCUACACUUUCCACAUUACAUAAUCACAUUAAAAGAUACAUUUGACAGUCAAGGAUUCAGAUUUUUUUAAGGGUUGGAUUAUUUUUGCCUAUAGAGACAAUUUGAGUAACUAGAGGACAAGAUACAUACUUGUCCACGGAGGGUGCAUAAAAUUGACACAACGUUCUCACAGGACCUUUAACUACAAUUAUCAGUUAGAGGAGCCCUAUCAUGCUAAUUGGUAGUUUAAUUCAUUCAUAUACUGCUGCAACAUUGGAUGUGUAAACCAAACAUCAGCCAAGUUUUAAAACAUGACUCACAUGAAAGUUGGUGUUGUGCUCGUACAUGUUUUUUAGUUCAUUUCAGGAUCAUUGUGGAACUUGGCCUGAACCUGACAUAAGGCUCAGCCGUCACAUGCACACCCAGGAGAUUUUCUUAAUUUGUCCCUGCCUCAAAAGUCUAUUUCAUUGCUCAGUUUUUCCUCCACAUUUCACUUUGUUGAAUAAGUAUAUCAGUAACCACAACAUAGUUUUUUGUGUUUGCCUCAAAACACAGUAUGCCAGUGCGAGCUGGAUUUGUGUCUCAACCUGGGGCUGUGCCAUCUUUAAAGAUCUUCUUCGUUAAGAAUUACAAUGUGUAAGUGACACUACUUAACAGCAGGUAAUGAAACAACAGCUUAUGUAUAGUAAGAGCCAAGUGGGUCCCAGUGGCUAGCUGAAGAUGUUUUUGUAAAAGGCGUAACUUUUGGGAUGAUUCAUGCUUGCAAAGCUGUGUGAAAAGUAACACUCACAAGCUUGGUCAAACUUUAUCUCAGUUGAAAUUAAAGGAAGAUGAAACAAGAGUUUCCAUAGAUGCCAGUAUAAGAUAAAUAUGAAGUUUUCUGAGCUGAAAAGCUACUCUAUAGACUGACAUACUGACCUAUGAGUAUAAACGUUGUAUUUUUACAGAAAUUCAGCCGCAAUUUCUCGCUACUAUAACUGUUUGAAAGUGUUAGAGAGUAUGACUGGAAGUAUAAUGAACGCUUGGUUCUGUUAUUUAGGGCGUAGUUGAAGGUUUCGAUGAGCCAUUAUUUAGUGGCACCCUGUAUUGCAACCUGCAACAAAUUACUGAGAAUUAACAUUUGAUCUCUUUGUGUUGUAUCUCAGUAAAAAAGCACUUCACCAGCUAAUAUGUAUGCCAUACAAAUACUGGCAAUGCCAAGGAAAAGUACAUGAAUGCACAGCAGUGUGAGUUUCUGUAAGGUAUUUAGUGUACUUCAAGUGAUAUCUGUACAAACAAGUCACUAUGUAUGCCAGAUAUCAUUGUAUUGGCCCUGCAGAUUGAGCCCUUUGUGAACAUUAUCAGUUUGGUGUUAACUUCAUUAGGUUGUCUUGGUAAGAGCCAGCAUGAUUUGAGUAUAUAAAGCCAUUUUAUUUCUUAUGGAUUCAACGUUAUAUUUGUUGUGUCUUUUCAAGUCUGCUUGAAGAGAGAUUUUCACCACAUUACUCAAAGACUUUUGGGGGUUGUAUCUCCAUCUCUAUGGCCUGUAAGACAUUUUAUGCUGGAGUUGUGUUCACUUGUUAGGAUUCAACCCCGGUGACCCUCUCUAUUGUUCAACAGCUUGCUAGCCAAAACCCAUCAGUCAGAGAUAUUGAAAUAAAAUCUACUCAUUAUGAAGUAAAGUUGACAGUUUUUUAUUUACUUCUUGUGCCAAGGUUUGUUUUGCAUGUCCAAGAUCUUUUUUCUGUGCCAGACUCAGAUACUAAAUUGCCACUAAAUCUGCAAAAGAUGACUAUUUUUCUGUAUCUUUACAACUCAAAUUGUAACGCUAAACCACAACUGCUCGAUAGAAAAUGAUACAAUGUUGUACGAGGGUUAAACUUGAGCUGCAGUGACUCAUUUAUCUUGAAUAAAUGAAUCCCCAGGAGGUGUUUUUUUUCUUUCUCCUACUUUGAUUUCUUUAAGGUUUGUAAGAAAUCAGACGAUAUCGCCUCGUUUGAUCCACACCAUGCCCGAGAAUUCUGGUUUUUAAUACGUGCACAGGAUCCACUAUCAUGUGCCAUAUGGUUCUGAGCCAAAAGAUAAUAAAAGACGAUAAUAUAAUAUAGAUAAUGCUACAGAGAAUAACCCAUAUCCCUAGAGAUAAAGUUGUUGACUGACAAAGGCAGCUGGUUGAGAAAUGGUUUGGGAAUGAUUCAGCCAAUAUGGAGCAAAAAAAUAAAAGAUAGUACAAAUGAAAACUAGGAGUUGGGGGAGAGAGGGAGAGGACAUAUACCCAGUGUUACCAGUGCUGGAGGAGGGUGGUGGUGUUGAUGAGGGGGAUUCCCUGGAGGGGGAAACAUGGCUUCCCAGUCUGGAGAUAACAUCCUCGCACAGGCUCUGCAGGAGAAACAUAAAAAUCCACCCAGACAUUACCCAGGUAUUUUAUCAUGCCCUAUCAGAUCCUAUUCCAGCUUAUCACGCUUUACACACACUUAAACACGGAUACCCAUUUCUGGACACAUUGCUCACAUUCAAAUAGAAGAGGUGGAAAGGAGGGGGCCACAUUUUCUACAAGAUGGAAGAGCUCAGGUAGAGGCAGGAAGCUUCAUCUUUUAACGGGAGCAAUAAAACAACUCUGGGGAUUGUGGGCAAUGUGGUUUUAAUCUUUUUUAUAAACUCAGACCUCUGUUGGUACAUAAAUAGAUGUGUUUCUUCUUAUAUACUCCGUACAACUGUUCAGUGAGUUUUGCCAAUUUAAGUCACAAACAAGUUGACAACACUUUCACUCAAAGAUGAUUUUAUUGAUUCUUGCAGCCAAAACACAGCUGGAAGCUUUGUGUCUUUUCUUACCUUGUUGCAGGAUGAAUUGACAUGAAACUGAACCUUUAAAUUCACAGUAAAGGUAGACAAAAGCCUGCUCGACACAAUCUUUGCAAAAACUAGGCAAAUGUCACAACUACUAACCAGCUUUGUACUAGCUCUGUGGAAGUUGCGUGGAUUACAAGACAGGGAUGUUGCUCCAUUGUUACCCAUCGAAGGUGUUUGGGGUCCAGCAGCUCCAUUCACUAAGGCUGUGGCUUCAUUUUAUUCAAACCUCUGCAAAGCACGUCAAAAUAUAGCUAAGCAACUAUCAUUUCAGUGGGAUUUGUCAACUUUGGCGAAUUGAAAUUAAGUAUUUCAUAUUAAAUAGGGGGAUUAGCUGAAAUUUAGACAAAUAUCCUUUUAAAGCUGAGGUAGAAAGAGGUAAAUAUUAAGUGGGACUCAAGUCUUACAGUGUAUUUGUGUGCACAUCUAUAGGGGUGUAUAUGGGUGUGUGUGUCAUGAGGUCAUGUGUCACAGACAGCAUUAACAAUGAUCCAUUUUAGCAGAGAAUAAAGGCUUUUUCUUCAGUCACACCCCCGCUCACCUCCCCUCUCAUCACCCUGCAGUCUGCUUCAGGCUUCAAUCUCCCCUUGACCUUUGACCUUAGGUACAGCCAGGUGUUAACCUCACCUUCAAACCCCCUUUUCUUUUUAAUCCCUGCUCGCACACACACUCAGACACACACACACAUACACACACUUAGCCAAAGACAUAUUUACAUUAGAUGCUCAGAAAUCUAUUUGCAUAUGCACACAACAAUACACACAUACAUUUACACACAUAUAAAAAAAAAUAGAAAAGGCACCCAAACAAACAUAAUGUAUACAUACAAACAACCUGGAGCUGACACCAUCACUACAUCAUAUUCCCGUUUACUACUCAACAAGGACCUAAAUGCAAAUAAUAGUUAGAUACAUGCAGCUCUAAAGAAUGCAUUAAAAACACAUGCAUCCACACACUGUACACACAUGAUUUAAGCUCCCACAAACACAUAGAAGACACACACAUAUAUAUAUAUAUGUACACACUCCCUCAGAGGGGUUUUAAAAAAUUAGAGUAGCUCAAGUGGGAAAACAGUGUCCAUUUGUCUUUGGGCUAAUAUGAGCGUGGCUGCAUUAGAGACAAAUAGCAUCCACUUCCAUUUCCUUUAUCACUGUCAGGCCAAUUAAUAGGCCAAGGAUCCUGUUACUGAGUCACUAGACGGAGGCGAAAUACACACACACACACACACACACACACACACACACACACACACACACACACACACACACACACACACACACACACACACACAAAGAGAGCCUUUUCAGCUGCUGACCUUGGCUGCUCCUCCCAACACAAAAGACCCUAGAGAUGGAUGCCUCUUCGGAGAGCACUCGCUCCCUCAAAGGGGUGCUGACAUCCUCCACACGCGCACACACACACACACACACACAUUUACACAAGCAUAUUAACACAUGCAAGUCAUAUUAAGAUGCCACACUGUCAGGUCAUGAUGGUGUAAAAUAUGAUAAAACAGGGAUAUUUUUGGACCUGAGAACUCAAAUCAAGAGAUGCACCUCAGCUUCAGUCCACGUUUCCUGUUCUGUGUGUCAGUUUUCAGUAAAAACCCCAGUUGUGGCAUCUUCUGGCGGGGUUCAUGUGCCUGUGAUGUAAAGCUGCUCUGAGAGCGAUGGAGAGCCUCUCCUGGCUUUAAUGACACCGGGCAUUUAUCAACCAUGUAGAUUACAAUGUCACUUGAGUGUCAUCUGGAGGACAGAUCCAGGCUGGGUGAGCCAUGCAUUCAACAUACUGAUGCACAUUUGCACACACACAAUCCCACAUUAUUAUCAGAAGUAAUGGUGAUGUCAUGUUUAAUCAUAUUACGGAGAACACCGACUGGUUGGUAUUCUUAAUUCUUUUCUUCAACAAAACAUUUUUUGUGUUGAGUGGAUGGCUAAAUGCCGGUAAAAUCUAGUCUUUCUGAAGGGUUCUGCCUUUGAAAGGUACAUUUUCUUACAAUUUUUUUGCUCAUGAUGACCUUUUCAAUGAUAGAACGGAGCAAACCUAAAUGAUCUUGACCUUUCAGGCAAAUUCUUGUGCUAUUUGUUGUGAUUUAAUGCAAUAAAUAUUUUUGAUUUAGGGAAAAGAAAGCUGGUCAUUGAUACAAGGUAACUUACAACACAGUGAUAAUAGAUAAAAAAUAUAAACAUAAUAAUUCUGACAUCAUUGUUGUGUCAUACCUUAAGUAACAGCAACAAAGAAAAAAACGUAAGUUUUAAAAGUUUGAGAGCAUCCCUUUUAAUGUAGACAUGUGUAGUUUGUACUCUGUUGAGUUCAGUGUUCAUUUUGGAAUCUGUUUAUGUAGAUUGAGUUCAACAAACUUUCCAUUUUAAUCAAGGUUUACACAUUUCUGUCAUUACAUUUUCUUUUCUCUCUUCAAACAAAUUCAGUUUUUGGACCAUGAAGCAAUAUCAGCACUCUAUCAAAUGUUGAAAUCUGCAAAGUAAGAUUUCUGUCCUUAAGACCCUCUGAGGCGUUUUUGAAUCCACGUGAAAAUGCAGAAACAACAGAAAAAGUUCACAUAAGCAGACCAGACCAGUCGCUCAUGAUCGUGUGUAAAUAGUCUGUCGCAGCAAAACACUAUAAAAGAACAUUGUAUGCAGAACUAAUAAGCGCAAUAUAUUCAUUCUCCAUAACAAUACAAUACAACAGGGAAAAAGUUUUUGUCGCACACAUUCAGUUCAACCUAACACUACCAUGCAAACCAGCCACCCUUCAUCUUGGUACGCGGGCAACAUACAGUAUAUAUAAACAACUGCCAUGUGCAAAUACGGUAGCAUUCUGUUUUUGCUGUUCACAUGUUAAUGACUAAGUGGCAUAUUUGAAAACCUCUAUUUCCAGUCAACUCAAACUCUGGUUACAUGUACACCCCCUGUGUACAGGGUGAAAUGAAAAGAACAAAUUCAGUUUUCAAAAAUAAUUAACAUGCAUGUGGACAGGGUCCAAGAGUACCUGACUUUGGCAGACGCGUUGCAUGCAAGUAAAAAAGAAAUUUACCCUGUACCCCUCUUAGCCUAUUACAGAAAUACUUGAAUUUUGACAGAUUAGAUGCAUCACAAACAUUUGAGUCUAAACUUUUCUCAUUAAGGAAACUAAACCCACAUGCAUUACUUGAGUUUCUUUUGCUGGUACGGAUUUGAUUGGUUGACUGUUAAAUAUUCAUAUAUAUACAAAAAAUUAACAUGACCUUGCUGUAAUUUUUCAAAGAAUGCCACACUAAACCUUAAACAUCCACAAUAUUCCCCCAAAAGAGCCACAGACUCCAAAAAGUUAACAUCUAAUGAAAAACAAACAGGUUAUAGUAUGGAUCUUACUAUUAACCAGCAGUCAGCCAUCAGUGAAACAACUAUGUGAUACGACAAAUGAACGUAUCUGCUUUUUUCCCCUUGCAUACUACAUUCCACACACACGCACAUUUCGUUAACACAUUGAUGAUCCUGAUAUUCAAUCAAUGAAGAUUAACUUGCUUAACUUGCCUAAGGUACGUCCCUUCUGUCCGCUGCUUUUUCCGAAGGAGGAAGCCCAAAUACGAUUAUGCGGAAGGGGAAAUUAUGCCAAGAUGAGUAGAGCUUAAUAUAUGGUAAUUAUUUGACAGGAUAUACUUACACAGCGAUUAGCAUAUCUCCAAGACGAGACAGAGAUAGAGAGCAGAAAGAGAGGCAAGGGAGGGAGGAAGAGAAUGGUGGGGAAGACGAGGGCGACGUGAUAAGGAUUUCUUUCUCUCUCGCUCUCUGACAGGGGCUGGUAGGAGACCCUGUGUAGGCAAACUGUUCUUCCAUAUGUACCUCCACUGAUAAGCCAUCUCUAUAGGGGCUGGGCCAAUGCUAAGCAGGCCUGACGUGCCUGGCAUACCAGACAGACAGCACAUGUCACACAUAUCAUUCAUUACACACACUCCAACGUGCACAUUCUGCAGCAGUCGCAUGGCACAGGCAAAAAGGUGUGGUGCGCGACAAACUUCACGUGUGGCGUUUCGCUGACAUGCAAAAACACACUCCCGCACUCACAGUCAGCUAAUAUCUGUCUUCACAAUACAUGACUGAACAUUUGCUGAACCACCCGAUACAGACACACUGCAAUCCAUUACAGAGUGUUUGUGUGCUGCUGUAGUACAUACAUCUUACUGUCUACAGCUGUGUCCUAUCGGCUUGGCCCUGCCAAUACUCCCACUGUGGAGAGUAUAUUUGACUAAUGCAUGCCGUCCAAGAGCAUAGAUCCUUCACACACACAAACACACACACACUCGGUGAAACACACAUGCUUCUUUCUGUUUUCUGCUCCUGAAUCAGCUGCCUUAUCGAUUACAAAACAGAGAAUCAUACAUGAUCACAUGUACAUACGUGCACUUACAAGCGUGCAUUGUCAUAAAGGAGGUCUGAUAUGCCUCUCAUUGGACAUCUUGAGACAUCGGUUGAAGUUGAUUAGGUGACCAUCUUUGUACCUGUUUAUUGAUGUUUGAGUCAAAUUUUUCAACAUUUUUGCUUUAAUCUGUGCAUCAAAGUGGGGGAAGACAAACUCGGUGGCCACUGAGGCAAAGGAAGGGGGACACAGUGACACCAGAGAGGUUCACACUGUGUUGUGUUGACAUAGAGCAAAGUACAUUACAGUACAUACAGGACCUAUGGUGUAGGUCUGUUGCAGAAUUUUAUAAUAUGUUUAAAGAUGCUGUCUUCCUGCCAUUUUUGUGUAAAACCCUGAUUGUGUCUGUGUGAACAUGUGCUGGCUUGUAUGGAUGUGUGCAAAUGCGAGCCUGAGCAUACAUAAAGUUCAUUUGUUAAGGGUAAUAAUGUUUCCAUUUGUCCUAAAAGGCUUUGAGUGUGAUCAAAUCUUUAAUGCAUUAUUGCGUUUGAAUGAGACAGUGUUUGCCUGUCAGUCUUACAUCAUUAUGUGCUGUAUUAUUAUCAGAUGAGGACAUCAAAAGGGGAUUAGCGUGUGUGAUUUCUGUCUUACACACACCUACCAUCCAGGCUGAGGCUGACCUCGUCCCAGUGCAGCCCCUCUGGUCCUUUCAAUCAUGCCUCUUUUUGUACCAAUUGAAUAUUUAUUGGCUUAUUUAUUCUUAAUCACAGACAGCCGCUUGUCUGUCCCACACACACACAGACACACACGCACACACACAAACAUACACACACAGUUAAAUGCACAGCUGAACCCCUCUUCCUGGAUGCCCCUGGCUAUCUUUUAUUGGGCCAGUCUGUAAGUUUGUAAGUGCCAGUCAUUCAGUGAAUGGUUUAACUCUGUGUAGGUUAGUCUGUCUGUCUGUCCGUCUGGUUUGCCUGUAGGUCAGCCGAUCGAUCAGUCGAUGGAUCCAUCUGUCAGUCAGUCAUUGAUUUCAUCUGUCAGUCAAUCGGGCAGUUGGUCAGUUUAAAUUACUUUAUCCGUCGACUGACAUAACAUGGUACACUGACGUUUUCUUUUUUUGUUGUUUUAUUUCCCUGCUUUUCUUUGCUCAGUUUAAACAAGACUGUAAAUCAUGAUUGUUCCCAAACCUCAUUCAAAUUUCAAUUUACAACAGGACCGUUGAAGUUGCCGAACCCCAAUGAGUUAUUUUUAACCAAAGAAAAAAAAUAUUUGUCCGUCAAAUUUCUUUUUGAAAGUAUUUGUUUACUUGUUGUCUAAUAUUUUGCACAUAGUUUGGAGUACCAUUGUAUCCUUGCCACAGAUUAUCAAAUGUCUAGGUUUUACCCAGGUCUAUAGGUUGUGUUGUUUAAUGUUUAUUUUAAAAAAAACAUCCUUUGUGUCUGUUUUAAUUCUUAUUUCUUUCUUCUUAGGUCAGUCCAGUAACCCUCAUUAGGUUACAUAAAUUAUCUGAUGUGGAGAUUUUGUGACACAGGGGACCUUUGCUCACUUGUACUACAUUAACUCAUGGAGCCAUUGCUAGCAACAACCAACCUUUUAAUCAAUAGAUAAAUUGAUAUUUUAGCAUGGCACUAAGCUACUAUAAACUAGAAAUAAAAUAACAGUAGACAAGAAAAAAAAUAACUGGGUUUGGAUACACUUACAAGAGAAAAAAUAAUAAAGAGCAAAUUCUGAUACUUUACAUAAACAUGGAAAAAUAAAACCUGCUCGGUCUGGGGUGGUACUAUCCAGUCCAGAAAAUAAACAUCAUGAGGUCAUGCAAACUCUCUUAAUCUAAAGGGAAAUAAAAACUAGAUCCAGAUCGGUUUGAUCAUCAACAUGAUAUGCCUUCAUGUUAAUGGUUACUCAUUGAUACUUUUCACUUAGUUUUGUGUGGCUUGACAACAAUUGCAUCACUUGAUGGGUCACGAGAGGCAGUCAUUUUCAGAAAAAACCAGUUAAGUCAUCAUGGUGGAGAGAAGAAAGUAGAUGAAAGGCUACUUUCGGUAAAAUCUACCAUUGUAAAACUGACAGUUUCUGGUGAUACACUGUGUGUUUCUUUGAUAUCCAGUGGCUUUUCGAUCCCAUAGAAUGUGAUCAUGUAUUUUCGGACAUUUAGGAUCCAGUCCCUCAAAAACAAAGCUAAUCUGUGAUGAUCUGUGUUUUAGAUUUAUUGAUGUAGUUUAACCUCUGUUGUGAGCUGACUAUGCUAAUGGAAGGCUGCCAUCUUUGAGAUGGUCUGUUGACCAAUCAGAAGACUUCACCUUUGAAGGUCUGAUCAGGUGUCAGGCUUCCUUGUCUCAGUGAGGCAGUGAAACUUUUGUUUGUGGCAAAUGUGUGGCGUUGAAAACCUGGAAGGUCUACACAGAAAAUCUACAGGAAUUGAUCAAAAAAAUACAUGAAGAAUUGGACUGAUAAGCAGAUGGCAUCAACUAAACUGAAGUUAUUUAAUCCAUUAGUGUCUGAUUUUGGUCCUUGCUUGAAGACAGCAUCGGUUACUGUUAUCACUAACUUAUAAAUGAGAAACUUGGAGACAUUAAAGUUCUACAAUCACGUUACAGAACUUUGAACUGUGGAAAAAUAUCACAAAGGCCACACUUUGACACUGUAGGAGGUCUUCUGGUGAGGUUGCCUGUUUAGCUUGUGCCUUUAGAUUGUGUAAUAUAAAUGCAAAGCUGUUUGGAAGAUGUGUGUGCAUUCAUAUGAAUCUAAGUCUUCAGAUCAGCCACCUCUGAUAUCUCUGCCACGAGCCCAGAGCACAUUAUCCCUCCAAAUAUGAGCGUGUGGCUGUCUGCCCUCUGUGCCCCCCCACCCAGAAUAACACCAGGUAAAUGACUUUCUAACUACCCGCUCAUUGUUUCCGUCUCCUCACCCUGCCUUUUCCUCAUGCUGUCUUGCUCUAAUUGAAUCACCAUAGACUCAGUGCAUCAAUUCUAACUUUGCUAUUGAGAUUUAAUCGGGUGUGCAGGAGACCGGCUUGGCAGACCGAGGGGUCCUUUUGUGAGAGGCCCAUCUGUUGGUGACACAAGGGCCCCAGAUCGGGCCGGGCCCAGAAGCUGAGUGGGGGUGUGGGAGGGAUGACAGGAUGGCAGGGUGGACCUCAACCCAAAACCUCCCACCCCACACUUUUUGGAAGUCUGUCUGGGCUUCUGCAGUUCGAACACACAUGUAAUUAUAUAACUAUACUAAUGAUGACACCAAUGUUAAAGGUAAAUAGACUAAGAAAAAAUCCUUUAGGUAGUCCUGGAUUCAGGUCUACUGUCUUUUGCACCAGGGGAGUACCACCAAUAUGUCGGUUGAACUCACUUCUUUUGCUGGGGAACAUUAUGGACUAUCAGCGGGUUACUACGACAUACAAACACUGUAAAGAUUUGCACUUUUUUUUUAUGGCAAAUAUUUACUCUUGCAGAAAAUAAUUCCUGUGUUUGUAAGGCUUGUCCUUGAAUGCCCAUUUGUUUCAGAUUUCAAUGUUUCUGUUCUGUUGUAAAUUUGUGCUUCAGCUUCAAGCCUGCAAGCUUCCAUUUGCUAAAUAUAAAUCCACCAGUCCCAGGUCUUAUCAGGGUCAUUUUUACCUGUUUUUGUGAAGCUAUUAGUGAGCUGGGAUGUCCCAACAGUGUCAAUUUUGGGUUUUAGCAGCUUUGAGAAAGCAGAUUAUGUAGAAGACUCGCUAUCUUCCACUUUCUCCACAAAGCUCUGUGUACAAAACCUCUUGACAUGGUAAACUUGUCAAAAGCCUGAGAGUGCACACUCAUAUUCUAAAAUUAAACUUGCAUGCAUGAAUCUGAAUAAAUAAGCAUCCAAAAGAGAGUCUAUAUACACGUAUUACCAGUUCAAGAAGCUGAAACUAUCGCUGGAGUUUGCCUGCAAACUACAUAAGAUGCAAGAAAAUCAAGUUAAAGUGUUAGCUUUUGGUUGUCUUGAUUGGGGCAUUGCUGUUUUGUCCUCAAUUUCAGGAUUUUAGAUCUAAAGCUUCUCAAAAACCUCCAUUCACCCAGAAUGGUAACAGAAUACCUCCUCAACUCAUUUGUUUUUGCAGAAGUUAUUCUCCUUCUCAUUCUAUAUAUCGGAAAACAACCAUCGUGUUUUAGUGGAUAGUAGUAAAACAUGCAUGAGCAUUUCUACAUUUGCACACAUAUGCACAAAAGGAAGAGCACAUAUAGCAGAUUUUGCACAAAGGCAGCAUGCAACUGAGGCCACAUACACUUACACUCAAGUGCAUGAAUGUAAUACACUUUCAGGCAGCACAUGAGGUGACUGAGAAAAUCAGCUUUUCACCUCUCCAGAAGAAAUUGAUCAUGACAGCAUGCAUACAAAACACACACAGAAGUACAGACACACACCCUCUGCCAUUGUAACCCCCCACUGCCACUAACAUAUAUACUGACAGAUCUGUGCGCGUGUGUGUGUGCGUGUGUUCAUGGUAGGUGUGCGUGUGUUCACGGUAUGUGUGUGUGUGUUGUUGUGGAGGGUGGGGGAGCUGUUGGUCAUAUCGGCAGUGCUGAUAGGUUCCAGCUCAGCAUUCCCAUCAUUCACUGGGGUUACGACCUCUCUGUAAAUGGCCUGACGGCAGGGAGGAGGAGGAGGAGGAGUGUGUGUGUGUGUGUGUGUGUGUGUGUGUGUGUGUGUGUGUGUGUGUGUGUGUGUGUGUGUGUGUGUGUGUGUGUGUACUGAGAUGUUCAUGAAUAAGGAAAAUGAAGAACCACAGGGUACAAUACCAGCGACCAUGACAGAGACAUCUUCAUGUUGAUGUGAGGAUGAUGAAGGUGAGGAGCAGGUAGAAGAUGAUAACAAUUCUGAUCAUGACUAAGAUGAAGAUGAAAAUGAAGAAGAUGUGGGCUGGGUGGACUGGUUAUAACAAUGAAUAGGUCUGAUGUGGCUCUCACACAAUCACAAUCCUAGAUUUGAUUCCUGUCUGUCAUUAUUUUGUUGAUCCAAGUCCUAAUCUUGCUGAUGUGAUUGGAGUUGAUCGGCCAUGCUGAGUCCUGAUUCCUCUGUUUUCCAGUUAAAAGAGAUCCAGCUCAGCUGACAUUGUAAUCCAGGCCAUAAAAAAGUUCUUGUAUUGUAAACGGGGAAAAAUAACAUAAGAUAGCUUAAGCAAAGUCCAAUAUUUACAUUCUUUGUCAAGCAGCUGCCAUUGUAAAUUACACUUUCAUGUAAUUUUCAUUGACAUUGGUACUGCCUUGUAUUUGCAGUAGUGCACAGCAUUUUUGUGUGUCUCCUCGAGUAAAGCAUGAAAAACAGAUUAAAUGAGAUUUUCCAAAGAGUCUUGCUGGACUUAGUUAAAUGGAGAAAGCAAAACCAUCUGUAGGUAUUUUGUCUGCUUCUGUUAUUUUUACAAAAUAAAAAAAUAAAAAACAACUUGCAUUUCUGUGAUCCAGAUAAAAACAAGUAUCGGAUUGGGACUCUGAAUCAGUAAAUGCUCAUUAAUGAAUAAUAGGAUUGAUCCAGGCAGCCCUAAUUUUCACCAACCCAUCAUUAAUGCUUGGUAACUAGUUCUUAUGUUAUUUUCAGAAAAGAGUAAAGCUCUAAAUCAAGCUGGACUCAGGCUAUGAGGAUUUUAAAAUACUCAUCAGUUCAAUUGCUAAAGCCAAAGGCAAAACAGCAGCGUGUGAAAAUGUGGGACAGAAGCAUCUAUCAUUGGUUAUGAAUUUUUCAGCAAGACUUUAGAGUUAGAUUUAACCAGUUUGUUUUCUAAAGUUCAAAUAGUUAAUCAAGUUCAUCCACAAGAAUGAGAUCAUUUAUUUGUUUUUUUUUUGCUGUAGCCAACAGCACUGUCAUGUGUCAUGAAACUCCGUUCAUACAGAUGAUAAAAACUACUGACUGCAGCUUCGCUUGUGGCAUCCUCAUCUGUGCAACACAGCUUGAUAAAACCACCAACUGCUGCUACGCCUGCAGAGGUGCUGAUUGGCUCAGUUAUUUCCUCAGGAAGAAGCCUUGACUUCAUUUACCUUCUCACAAGAGCUGUGGUAAUUUGGACAGCUAGAAUCAGACUUUGGUUAAAAAUGGAGGUCAAAAUGCUGGUUAUGGUUAACACAGGCAAACGCCCCAGACUGUGUGUGGAGAGCAGAAAAAAGGCUCCAUUGGUUUGCAGACUAUAUUUUAGAUGUAUCAAGUUUGGGAAUAUCAUUGUAAGGUUGUUUUUCAGAGCAAGAAGUGACCAAACUUCAACAUAAGGGUGAAUAUGCAUUUCUACACCUCUAUGCUGAUGAAAUGGUCACCAUCUUGUCCAUCACUAAGUAGCCGCGGUAGCACACCCUGCUCUAUGGUCACACACAACUUAACAGCUUUGAUACUUUUGGUUGUUUAAUAUGACAGCUUUGUCUUAUUCACUUCCCUUCCUCUCCUUCUGUCAAGGUUUUGCUUACCCCCUACAUAUUUAUGCUGUUUGGGUCGGAUCCUAGGGUGCAGACUGGAGAGCGUGAUCGAUCAGAGCGCUUAAGCCAAUUUGGGUCUGAUUGAGAUGUAUACAGAACAUACAAAAGAAAAUUGAUCCCCAGUUGCGUUAUCCAGGGAUAGUAGUCCAACUUUGAGAACUUUGACUUGCAUGUUUACAUGAAUUUUAAAAGUCCAGUUUUAGUCAGACUAACAUUAUAAACUGUUUUUUUAAACAACAGGUAGGCAUACAGGGUGUGAUUUCUCCUUUAUUCUAUUAUUAGCGGCUUUAUUUCUGGCCCAUUUUUCUUUAUUUGAAGAAUUGGCAAGAUUAUAGAACUAAAGAGUCAUCAAGAAUAGUGAUUAAAAAAAGGAAGCUGUUGAUAUUGUAGUAGAUCUAUACUGAAUUUAACUGCUCUUUUCAAAUCCAUGUUUGAAGAACCUUGAUGACCCGAAGGGAUUUUCUUACAUCACCCAGGCACAACAAGUACACACACACACACAAAUUAGCACAAUGCACAGGCGGUGCACCUCAGCUGGCCUCCACACCCCAGUUGACUCCGACCUGACCUCUGUUUUGUGUGUGUGUGUGUGUGUGUGUGUGUGUGUGUGUGUGUGUGUGUGUGUGUGUGUGUGUGUGUGUGUGUGUGUGUGGUUGGCCAUACUCAGGGUGGGCUGUCACUCUGCUCACCUCUUUCUGCCAACAACAGAAGAGGAGGGGUGAUGUCUGGCAUGACCUGAAGGCAGAGAGGGAGGAUAGCUGGAGGGUGACAUGAAAGUGAGUGUGUGCUUGUUUGUGUGCUUGUUCAUGUGUGUGUGUAUGUGUCUCCUUGCCUCCUAGAGUGGCCUGGUCAAUUAAAUUCACAUUGAGGAUAAAUGAUUUGCAAAUGAUACACGUAUAAGUGAGUGACCUGUCCUUCAUUGACAGGCUCAUAUUUUUAAAGUGAAAAUGAAGGCAGGAGUUCUACAAAAGCUUAUGGAUCAAGAAUUAAACAUUAAAAUAACAAAGAAAAAAAAAGCUUUUAACUUUUCAGGGUUCCUAUGCAAGUAUGGAAAAGUAUGGAAAUAAAUUUGAUCAAUUUCCAUUUCUUAAGAAGUAUGGAAAAUUAAAAAUAAGGUAUGUAAAAAUGUUUAUGUUUUCAGACUAAUUCUAAAAAGUAGGGUAUGGAAAAGUAUGGACAUUCCAACUGCAUAGGAACCCUAACUUUUGCACAUUUUAGAUCAGUUAAUUAAGACAAACUCAAAACUAGCAAUGAAUACAACAGUACUAUAGCAUUCUGGAAAAAAAAAAAAAAAAAAAAAAAAACUGGUAUGUAAACGUUGCUUGGACCCAAACAGAGAUCUAUACGGAGGUGCAACAUCACUCAAAAAAUGGAUUGUACUCAAACAAAAUGCUGUCUCAAUUGUAAGACCUGGUUUUUAACAAAGUCCUCACAUAGCCAAGGUUUUUACAAAUGAGAGAGACCAGAGACCCAUGUCCUUAAGUGAGGAUGCAGGUGAAUUACUGCAUUUAAAGGAAAAGUUUUUUGUUUUCUUUUUUUACUUAAGAUUGCCCAAAGUAACUGCAAAACAGUGGAGAUUUGAGACUUGAAAAUGUGUGUAACCCACAGCAAAUACUCAGCAGAAAAUAAACUCAAUGCAAACUGACUAUCAGCUUAUUGACAGAGGCCCUCACCCUUUCAGCCAGUUACGAUUGGAUCACCCUGUGGUGCCAACACCAAGUUGACCAAGAGGCUAACUGGUUGACCUGUGAAAACAUGGACAAUUUUGCGGCUAUCUCCCCUUGGUUUGACUAUGUGUAUAUAUAUUAAUUUCUUUACCAAAACAUAUACUUUUCUUUAGAUUUCUACUGAACAUAAGUCAUUAUUUACAGCAAGGCUUUGUUGUGUUUUUGAAUUGUGAAUCUUUUUGGUUGCAGAAAGUUGUCUGUCAUUUGUAGGAACAGGUUUAUUUGGUUCAGACUUCAGCUGCAAUACUGUUUGGUUUACUUAAAUCAAGGUAAAAGGCCCAGGUUUAAUUCCACGUCUCAAAACUUCCUUUGUGUUGAAUUUAUUUUUAACUUAGUUUUCAUUUCAUACUGAAUAAUGUUUAAUGUUUAAUUGAAGUUGACGUUUAUUGUGGGCUGCAUCAACAAGUUUUUUCUCUUUACAAACACAUAUGAAAUGAUAAGUUUGAAAAAUUAAACACAUUAUAUAAACAGUUGUGGGCCAAGUACUGACCCUUGUGGGACUCCACAAGUAAUCUUAUGCAAUUCUGCUAUUACAUUAUUGAUAAAAUAUAUUUAUCUGUCAUAAAAAUAACUUUUCAUCCAAUGUAGUCUGCCCAUCAUCUAUUUCCAUAUACUUUCAGUUUCUUUAGUAAUAGUAAUAAAUCAAGCAAAAUUUUGUGUACCAUGGCUAAAAUAUUUCUUUCCUUUGCAUUUGCUGCUUUAUCCCAAACAUAUGCUUUAUUGGCUUAUAUUAUAAAUCAAUACAUCACAGAAUAGUCUGUUUUUAACUCUAUAGAUUUAUCAUCCAUGACAAAUAUUGUUUAUUUGGUCAUCAUACAGUAAAAUACACAAGGAGUGUUGAUGAUUGUUUUGUCCCACUAAAGGUUAGACAUGAUUUUAAUUCUUCCUUUUUUUUUUUUUUUUUUUUUUUUGUUUUCCAAUUUUACACACACACACACACACACACAAACACACACUCAAACUCAAACACAACACUUUCAGACAGUGGUAGAGAUUAUGUGUGUGUGUGUGUGUGUGUGUGUGUGUGUGUGUGUGUGUGUGUGUGUGUGUGUGUGUGUGUGUUUGUCUGCAUGAGACAGAGGAUGAGAGAGAGAGAGAGAGAGAGCAUCAGGCAUGGAGGAGACCCCCUUCUGGCUAUCCUCUGAGGGGCUGAUGAUACUAAAGACACUGGAGAGCGCCCCGGCUGUGACCCACCCACCCACCAACACACACACAUGUAGGAGCACACACACAGACUCACACACACACACACAUCAACCCUCCAACCAUUCUGUUCUCUUUACAACUUUACAAAAUAGGCUUUUAAUUUAGCUGGGCGGCCGGGGCGUGUGGGGCCCGCCAGCAUCAAUCAUCAUGAGGAGGCUGAGGAGGCCUGGCCGUCCCCUGGGCCCUCUCACUGACGAGGAUGUCCCAGCACAUACACACACACACAUACACACACACAUUUCCUUCUGCUCUUUUAUACAGAGACUCGUUUGCGAGACCUCGAGACCUUAUCAUUCGCUCAAACACACACAUACACACACACACACACACAUGGUCGUGCAAAUGACGCACACACACACACCCUCCAUCCCCUCUAGGCUGUAGAUGAUGAGAACAGACUGAACACAGAUGGGAAAUGGGGGGAAAAUGUGAGAAUUAAGCAUCUUUCUCACUCUGUACUUUUAUUUUUAUUAUAUUUAAUCAUUACCAGACUUAACCACAUGACUAAACAUGAGCGAAGUGCUCAUUGUGUAUGCAACCUAACCUAACCUAAGACUACUUUCCAGAUCGUUUUCUAUUUUUCUUUCUCUUUUUGUCGUCUUUUUGGAAUCCUUUGUACAAUCGUGUUCUCCUCUAAGCCAAUUUGUAUUUGCAUUGCAAACAUUCAUUUCCAUUUUGGGUUCAUGCGUCUACCUUCUUUGUUAAUUGGAUUUGGAUCAUUUCCAAAUGUUCAGAGUGUACCCAGCAAUAAUUAUAUUCCCAGAGAGAUCUGUAUAAUUUUUGUCACAGACAUUGAAGACUUGUCGGCAUGUCACAGACGUGACAGUGAUGUUUUAUUGCAUAUAAAAGACAUCUCUUAUGAAGCAAAAUGUCAGCAGGAUGUCGUGUCUGAAAGAGAGAUGUGUAAUGAGUCCCUGGAGGAGAAUGAUUGUAUUUCAAAGAUUAUAUUAACCUAAGUGCAGUACUUAAGUCAAACUUUUAUUCUUCCUUCUUUUUCCAACUGGUACAUUGAGCCUUAUAUUAUUUAUUUAGACUGUUAUAAUUACCGGUUACCUCAGAUUAAAAGAAAAUUCCACAGAUUCAGUGUGACAUUUUGGCAGACUCACAAGAGAUCAAAGAGUCUAGAGCUGAAAUAAUCCCUAUUUAAAGAUUCUACAUAAAAGCAAAGACUCUGUAGGCAGAGGCUUGGAAUUAGGUAUGGGAAGUGUUCCUAUUUGUUUGUACAUGCAGCAUUGACACAACAAAUAGUCUGUAUGGAGAUCAAAAACACAAGUAGAUCUGCAAGGUAUGGCAUCCUGGAUCUCAACCUGAUAACAAUUUAUUCAUCUUUAUCAACAGAUAUCUUCAUGAAACAUCAUUAGAUCAGACAUUUACUCUUGAGACACAUCUCUGCUUGAAUGCAUCAGCAAUUAUGGAUCCUACCACCAUUCCUCAAGCAAACAUUUUAAACAAUUUUUCUCUAUUUAAAGACAAACCUGACAACGCUUGACUGUUUACAAUUUUAAAAAAAAAAUCUGCAUCCUGAUGUUAUUUCAGUCCAUUAAUUACAAAAGAGUAAGUUUCUCUUUUGGGUUCACACAGUUUAUGUAAUCCUGGGUGAAGCCUCUGUUUGACCUACUGUUUACAGUGAAACUGAGACUUCCCAAAGACAGGGGAACAGGAGCUGUUCCUGAGGAUGUUGUGAACAGUGACAGUGUUUAUUUAGCAGACAACUAGAGGAGUGAAUUUCAUUCUGGUUUUGAUUUGAACACAGCAAUUUCUCAAGUUGUUAAUUGGACUGCAGGAAGUCAUUUAUAGCUCACUGCAGCCCACAUCAGAAUUACCAACAAUUUGACAAUUAUUCCCUGAGUCAGCAGUGUGAGGCUAGAAGACAUUUGACUUCUGUAAUAGGAGCUUAUGUAACCAAAAUCAGAGCUGUUGCAUGAAACAGUGUUAAUCUCAAUUUGGAAUAUCCAUUCAUUCCAAGAGUAUCUCUGAAACAAGGAGGACUUGCACCAGAUCUAAUCAAGACUAGACUAGACUUGAUUCUUCAACUAGUGUGACAAGGCGAAGUACACCGGACACUUACUCUACCAACUGAGCUGAAGGGACACUCAAUACUUUCUUUUCUAAUGCUCAUACCUAUAAAGUAAAAUAAAUUUAAAUCAGUUUUAUUUGGCUAAACACCAAAUAGAAAAAAAAAAAGCCAGAAAUUGACUGUUAAAGUGAAAUCUUAUAAAUUUAUAGAGCUGGAUUACAUAAAAAAACAUAAUGGUCGCAGUCUAAAACUAACCCUAAACUGAGGAUAUAAGAGCUUACAUACCUCAUGAUUGGAGGCCAUAAAACAUCAGGACAGGGGUAUCAUUUUCAAUAUCUAUGUGAAACUACACUAUCAGAGAAAUGAGGAAUUAAGGAAGGGCAAGACAAGGGUGGAGUGAUGCUUCCAUAGCUUUACAGAUAGACGCAGUUGACUUACUUACAUGUAAUCAUCCUUUUCUGAAGUUGUUCAAAGUUCAGUUUUGUCAGCUUCACAAAAACCUAUUUGGAGAGGACACUUCUUUAACAAAACAAUGGUUUAUGGGGCUUUUAUUUUGACAUUUUUAAUGUCUUGCCCUUAGGUUGCUUGACUUGUUGUAAAACUAUUCUUUGCAAUGAAAGUAUAUGGUAUAUCCAGUUUAUAGUAAAUUCCGGAUCAGAAUUGAAACUGCUAAAAGAAUGUUUAGUAAGUAUAUUUGUUUCAUAAUUGUUUAUUUAAUUUAGACCCUUUUUAAGGGCUGCUACAGCUAGUUUGCUCGCAGCCAUUACAGCUGCUUAUUCUUCAUUUACCCUCUGUUUUAUUGCAAGUGGUGACCAGCAAGAUGGCCCUACUGCACCCUGACAAGAACCUAUUACAUUUACUUAUUUUAGCGUGAUGUUGAUGAUUCUUUUUUUUUUAAAUUACUGUUUCUACAGAAGAGAAACAUGACCAAGCUUGACCAACAACCCUCUCCACUCUUCAUCUCUCUCUCUCCUCUCCCUCUCCCCCUCCCUCUGUUUUCCCGGUCAUGUCUAAUCAGAUAAACUGAGCAGAGAGGUGCGAUAAGGAAGGGGCUCCCUGGGGUGUGAUGUCGCUCCCUCCUUCCCUCUCCUCCCUCCCGUAAACCCCCUCCCCAACACCAUCGCCGCCACCACCACCCAUACAACCCCUCCUUCCCCCCUCCACCCCCCAGCUCUAUCUUUGCUGCCGGUGGCGAUGGUAGUUUUAGUAUGCAUAGAGCUGAGCUAUCUGCUCCACUGCACCUUGACUCCCCCCCAACCCCCCUCCUACACACACACAUGCACACACACACAUCCACUUUCACCAAACUCACCACCGCAACAUCCACCCAUGACCACAUAAUGUACACACAGCUCCAGCACACAUACACUACUGUUAAGGGUGCUAGCUCACAGCAAUCAUAGCAACUAAAAGUCACAGACAGACACUUGAGCACAAAAGGCGACCCUCAGAAACCUCUUAUUUUACCUUCUGUUGCUGAAAGGAAUCUGACAGAAAGAGGCGGUAAAGAGGCAGAGGCUUUUCCACAAGUCAGAGGGCUGUACAGUCGAUGUUUGAAACUAAUAGACAGGGUCCCAAGAACAAUCUUUUCACUUGUCUUUCUUUCUUUCCGCUCUUUGUGCCUCCCAAACUUCUGUGUGUUGACUUCUCUUCAAUAGCAGGACUACUUGGGUCAGAGCCGUAUUCUUCUACACAGUAAGUAAAUAAAAGCAACACACAAUGUAAUAGAGGACAGAACAUAAUAAAGACGGCACUUGUGCCAAGUUCACCAAGUGCUAUUAGGAAGAAAUUCUUUAUAGAAAACAUUUUCACUUGAUUGAAAAGCAUUCUUUUCUGGUAUUUCUUUUAAGGUGAGCACAAAGUUGGUGAAAAGUUAAGAGCAAUCUCUGAAGAAGACAUACGAUGCUGUUUUUUUUUGUCAUGUUACAAUGAUGGAUGUUAAUAGUUACUGUAAAUUCCUAUGUUUGACACAUCCAAUAAAACAAUGAGCCAAAAGAGUUUCUAUUAUAUUCAAGUAUUUUAUUUACCAAGUUCCACACAGUAAACAAAAGGAUCUGUUGUACCAGAGUGGAGUGGAGUACCACCGUUUCAAACUGUGUAGCUGCAUACCAGGCCUGCUCACCGGAUAAGUCAUGGGUGCUUUCAAGGGAGCAGAGGUAUGUAUCAUCCACUCUCUGGGACCAGUUAGCAUUCAUCAGCAAUUACCAAAGUGGCUCCAGCAGUUGGCAUUAUCUCUUACGUGUUUUGCGGUCUCACUGUACAGCUUGUUUUGAAUACAUUGUGAGAUCUGAUCCGAACCUGACAUCAAUGAAGUUGUCUGUUUAGGGCAUUAAGUCUUCUUGCAGUCCAUCUAAAUUCUUAAAAUUAGGAAAGUUAAUGCUGCACAAUAAAGGUCCUUUUCUCUGAGUAAUGUAAACAAUCAGCUACCUGCACCAAGUUUUCUGCUCUCUGUCCAUGGUGCUGAAAAACAGCUCAAGGUUUCCCUGAUGAAUAGCUGAUCUCUUUAUUCAUAUACCUGCACAUACCUGCAACAGUUUGCAGUUGCUAAGUCAGUCUUUGACUUCAGGUCAUGUAGCCAUAGUUUUGCUCAGCUGCAGCAUUGCCCUCAAAGCAGUUGGUUAAGUUUAAAGACUUGAUUUGUUUUCAGCAACCUUGUUUUCAAACUCUUAAGGGAGACACAACAGGACCAGCAAGACCUCUGAAUUGCAGAUAUUUCCUGAAUUGCACUAAAGGCAGAAAAUGCCAAGUUUUCAUGCAACACAAAUGUUGAGAUGUUUGCAUUAAAUGCAUCAAAUUAACUUUGGCAAUCAUUAUGUCAGGUUUACUCUGUGGAUUACAUGGGUCAGGCCCAAACUUUGUAACAAAAUUGGUACUGUCAAAUGUAGUGAUGUGUUCUUUGUUUGUUUGUGUGUGUGUGUGAUUGUGUUUGUGUACUUGAGGAGGGCAGCAGUUGCCUGAGCAGCCAGCAGCUUCUGAUAAGACAAAGGCAGGUUGUUUGCUGUCUCUUCCUUGGCUGCCUGGCCAUUAAAGGUAACCUGCUAUCUGAUGGAGGCCAGGCUGGACACCCCCAGUAUGGCUGGACAUACUAAGGCUGUACGCGCGCGCGCGCGUGUGUGUGUGUGUGUGUGUGUGUCUGCUCCCAUCUCCACCCCUUGAACCUGUAAAUACAUGGUAUGUCUGUUCUUAUUCAGACUUUAUAACUGCUCAGAGAGUCGAGUGGAGCCCCAGCUAUCCUCCUGCAGAAUUGCUUUGUUCUGGUCCUGGUGUGUGUCUGUGUGUGUGUGUGUGUGCGUGAACGUGUGAAAAUGGGUGCGUGUUGUUUAGGUGUUGACUGGUUCAAGUGUCUCCUCUCAUGUCUAUUGCAUCUCCUGUGUAUAUGCACCCAGCGUUGAGUCCUGAAAACAUGAAGAAAUGCAAAACAUGAACACUCCUGUCUGUUAUUCAGCCACAUCGAGGCUUGGUUGAGCAUCAACUUCUGAACUGAAAUUUGUCUUUCCACUUUGUCACUUCCAAUAACAUAUCAUUGCAUAUCAUUUGGAAGGUCUGUUCAGUCAUAAAUGGUAGGUUAGCUUUGACUUAAGCCUGUAAUCUCCAUCACAAGUAGUUUUACGAUGGUUUGCACAAAGACUAAGAAGAUUUAUCCACGGUAAUAUCACCAAUUGGUUUGUAAACUACCGAUUCGAAGCCCUGCAUCUUGGCAGCCACCAUCUUUUUUUUAAGGCAAAAGCCACCAUAUUUGGUUGUAGGUUGGAUAUGCAUUGCUGCCCCUGUUUUUAUUGUAAAUGUAUUGGUGCAGUAGAAACCUGGCAAUCGUAGGUUGCCCAGGCCUAAUUUCUUCCUUGUCUAAUGUCGGUUGGAUUUUGAUCAAGACCAUAAUUUACAAAACUAGCAAGAAUUAGAGAUUAAGGUUUUAAAAAAACUAAUUUGAAAAUUGUUUAUUAAGAGACUAAAUCAAGUGACAGUAUUUUUAUACCAGAUGGGUUGUCCCCUCCUAAUGAUACAAAGAUGAAAGUUUCAAGGCAUGCACACAUAGUAUCACUUGAAAUCUAAUUGCCAUUUCAAUUUCUACUGUGAAGCCUACUGUGCUGUGUUUCCAUUAAAAUGCCAUAAUUAUCAUGUUAGUGGGAAAGUUUGGUUUCCAAACAUGAGAUUUUGGCUGUUGGUGUGUUCACUACACUAAUGAUGCUGCUGCUCAAAGACAGCCAACCAAUUCUAUUUUUACCAAUUAAGUUCUCGCAAGGCUGGACAAACGUUUGUUUAAAACUAAGGCUUUCCAAUGUAGAGUGUAAAACUUCUCUCCGACUGGUCAGUUUAAGAGCCCUAAUGUCCCAAAGUUUCAGACUUAAGUUUUAGUUUACAACUGUAGGAACUCAAUAAAGUUUACUCAGAACUAUAUUUAGGUAUCAAUACACUGAAAAACUAGAGAGAAAAUCUAGCUAUAAACAUCAUCAGAUUUUAUUUUGCAUCACAAAGUUUUCUGCAGGUGAGGAGGUAUGGUGAAAAAAAAAAAAAGUUCAGCACAUACAAGUCUACAAAUCACAGCACAGAAAAGACUGGAAUUUUUUGUAAGUAAAAGUCGCGUACACCUCUGUGUGCACCUUUGCCAGCGUCACUUGAACCAAAGCUGAGCCUGCAGCGAUGUGAGGGCAUAUAAAGCUGCAGACAGCAAGAUCCAGGCUUUUACUGACCAGAACUAAAUUCUAAAGCAAACACACACACACAUAUAUGCACGCACACACACAUGCACACACACACACUGAGCGGAGUACUUGCCCAUUGGCAGCAGCUUCUUUGCAGCCUGAGCGACUGUGGCUGCUUCUGGCUGGGUCCAAUGCAAAGCUGCUUAACAGGACUCAUCUGGGAUCAGUGACAGAUGGACAACCUGUCCUGGAGGCCCGGGCACCACCGGAGCUCCUGGAGACAGGUAAACCUGGUCAGAGCCCCACAGAGCCCCGAGGAUGCUUACAGUGUAAUCGCAAGAUUUAACAGUAGAGGUGCAUUUACACACACACACAAACGCAACCAUGCUCACACACACACACUGGACAUGAACCCAAACACUCACCUACAAACAAAUGUCUGAGAACCGCCUCUUGCAUCAUGCAGGACAAACGUGUCCUCUUGUUUUGCUCACAGUUCAGAAACCUUCAGGGUACGAUUUGGGACUACAGUACGAGCAUUUACCAGAGAUUUGUUUGAUUUAAUUUCAAUUUGAUUUAUUGAGAUGGAAACAGCAUGAAACAACAGCUUUUACUUCUGUCUUAGAUAAUGAUGUAAAAUAUAGAUGGGGGAAAGUUAUACUGUCAUACUUUCUAAUACAGCAGACCAUGUGACUUUACCCUAAGUAGCUUUGUCACUAAAUUUAUUAACACUAUUACUCAGAUUUCAGGACUUUUCAGCAACCUUCAGUAUUGAGACAUGAGGCUAAGGGGGAGUACAAAACACUGCAUUUCCUUCGGUGUCCUCUUGAGGCUGUUUCAAAAAGCUAAGGAGACCCCAUUAAAGGGAUAUUCUUGCAUAAAAUUAAUUUAGGGUCAAACACAAACUAUAACACCGAGUUAGACACCCCCUCGAGAGAUGAAUGGGGCCGACUGCUUGUUUCUCUAGUUAUACCAACUUUCGUAACGACCACACGAUAGCAACACAGAGCAGUCUAUGGAACCACACAUGAACCUCAACCAAAAGGCCACUCUAUAGCCACAAAUAAUGCUCAGAACAGCACCUAACUUCAUCAACAGCACAUAUAGGGUCCCAGCCACAGCACUAGCCACCAAACAUCUUUUUAACUCUGCCUAAUUUCUUUAGCAAAGUGACUAAACACAACUCACCUACUCUCUUCCAGCAGCCACUUGUUUGUAGCGAGACCUCGGGACAGUCCAUUAUGGACUACAGCAGGGUGACGCAGCUCAAGGAAGAACAUUUAUAAUCAUUUCUUCAUGGAAAUGAAAUCAGACCGAGACGCUAAGGCAGAAGAACUACCGUGUCUGCAGUGCAAAAUGAUUAAUAUGAUGAUUAUUACUUCAAGGAAAUGAUAAUGAAAUGAUCACAUAUGUUCUUCCUUGAGCUGACCCCCGCUGUAGUUCGUAAUGGACUGGCCAGAGGUCUUGCAAAAAUGCUUGCCUUUUACAGCAGAGAUAAACAUGCACUGUCUGGUACAAAGACAUAUUUUUCUUUACUCUUGACAACUCUAUGGGCCCAAUUAUAUCACCAAACAUGCAUGGUCUGAUUUAGAUGUGAAUCAGGGUGUGUCCAACCACUUUUUGCUAGUAAAGCAGCGUGCAAUCUCAAGUGAGGCCAAAGGCACAAAGUGGUUUGAUUAUGACCCUUGGUUAUUAUGCGUAUAAUGGGGCAACAUGAAUCAAACCAAUCAGUGCAUUUGCUAUAAUUCCCUUUAUGAUCAUAUAAAACUAUAUAUAUGUACACUCACCGGCCACUUUAUUAGGUACACCUGUCCAACUGCUCGUUAACACUUAAUUUCUAAUCAGCCAAUCACAUGGCGGCAACUUAGUGCAUUUAGGCAUGUAGACAUGGUCAAGACAAUCUCCUGCAGUUCAAACCGAGCAUCAGUAUGGGGAAGAAAGGUGAUUUGAGUGACUUUGAACGUGGCACGGUUGUUGGUGCCAGAAGGGCUGGUCUGAGUAUUUCAGAAACUGCUGAUCUACUGGGAUUUUCACGCACAACCAUCUCUAGGGUUUACAGAGAAUGGUCCGAAAAAGAAAAAAUAUCCAGUGAGCGGCAGUUCUGUGGGCGGAAAUGCCUUGUUGAUGCCAGAGGUCAGAGGAGAAUGGCCAGACUGGUUCGAGCUGAUAGAAAGGCAACAGUGACUCAAAUAACCACCCGUUACAACCAAGGUAGGCAGAAGAGCAUCUCUGAACGCACAGUACGUCGAACUUUGAGGCAGAUGGGCUACAGCAGCAGAAGACCACGCCGGGUGCCACUCCUUUCAGCUAAGAACAGGAAACUAAGGCUACAAUUUGCACAAGCUCAUCGAAAUUGGACAAUAGAAGAUUGGAAAAACGUUGCCUGGUCUGAUGAGUCUCGAUUUCUGCUGCGACAUUCGGAUGGUAGGGUCAGAAUUUGGCGUCAACAACAUGAAAGCAUGGAUCCAUCCUGCCUUGUAUCAACGAUUCAGGCUGGUGGUGGUGGUGUCAUGGUGUGGGGAAUAUUUUCUUGGCACUCUUUGGGCCCCUUGGUACCAAUUGAGCAUCGUUGCAACGCCACAGCCUACCUGAGUAUUGUUGCUGACCAUGUCCAUCCCUUUAUGACCACAAUGUACCCAACUUCUGAUGGCUACUUUCAGCAGGAUAAUGCGCCAUGUCAUAAAGCUGGAAUCAUCUCAGACUGGUUUCUUGAACAUGACAAUGAGUUCACUGUACUGAAAUGGCCUCCACAGUCACCAGAUCUCAAUCCAAUAGAGCAUCUUUGGGAUGUGGUGGAACGGGAGAUUUGCAUCAUGGAUGUGCAGCCGACAAAUCUGCGGCAACUGUGUGAUGCCAUCAUGUCAAUAUGGACCAAGCUCUCUGAGGAAUGCUUCCAGCACCUUGUUGAAUCUAUGCCACGAAGAAUUGAGGCAGUUCUGAAGGCAAAAGGGGGUCCAACCCGUUACUAGCAUGGUGUACCUAAUAAAGUGGCCGGUGAGUGUCUUUAUUGAGUUUAAGUAUAUUUAACUUCCCCCCUUUGACUGUGCUCCAAAUAACAUGACAACAACACGUGAGUUGUGUCAGUGCUUAGACUGAUGUUGAAUCCACUGAAACUGUCCCUUUAACUGUUUUCAGCUACCUUUGCAAUUUCCUGGUAUGCUCGUUGUUUCUGUUUUAGUCGUGUGUGUCUUGGUGUAUUUGUUAGUUAAUGUUGUGAAAUGUGUUUAUAGUUUAAGAAAAAUGAUGAGUAACAUGGAAGAUGAAAAAUGGAGGCCCGGGCUGAGAGAAAAGAGAGUAUGUGUGUGAGAGUGCAACAGAAACACACAUGAAGGUCACAUUUAAAAGCUGGCAUCUCUCCUAUGGCAGUAUAGCUUCAUGGCCUCCUCAUGCCACCAUGCUGCCUAACCCAGCACUGAAUCCCAUGGUGCAUUUCACACUUGUUUUGCAGCCGUGAGAUGAUUUGUCAGCAGCUAAAGGAUGGAAUUAGCUCCUUUGCAGUCAUCCUUGGCCUCUCAUCAAUAGCUCUUAACUCAUUUGUUCUUUGCUGUUGUUUUACGUCCAAAACGGUAUGUGUGGCAAUGUCAGGGUGGGGUUGUCGGGGUUGGUAGAAGGAAGGGGGGGGGCAAUAAUUAGCGUUGGUAUUGAAAAGUAAUAACAGUAUGGAUUAAUGUGGGAGAAGUGGAGUGGAGCGCAUCAUCGAGUGAGACAAAUCCAAUGCUGGGAAUUGGCAGACAAAGCAAGAGGCAGUCAAUAGGGAUUAUGUGGGGGCUAAGCCGCCCCACUUUGGCUGGGGGAGGCUGGGUGAAGAGAAGUGGGCUGGGGUGCCUUGAUGGCGGUGGUGGUAGCAUUUGGACAGGCAUCGAUGCACAUUCAUGCAGGUUGGCUUGAAGCUGCCACCGUCUGAGCAGACGUUGCACAGCCUCUCUGGUGGAGAGCAUGGGGAGAAGGCUGGGGAGACAUAUAGGGGGUGACAGGGGGAGGAGGAAGAGAGGACAGACAUCUUGCUUCCUCUAUUUAGCUCCUAUAACUCCUCCCACAUAACCACCCAGCCCUCCACUCUCUGUGAGACCCCAGAUCCCUCCACCCCCUAAGGGAGGUGGUGCAUUGCCGCUGCCAGAAGCUGAGUCUGUGCCAGCUGGGCAAACACUCAAGUCGUUGACAGAAUAAACACCUUGCAAAUAGAAGCAGAGAUGACACAGGCUCAGACACAGCGAGCAGCACGACUCCCCAUACAUCAGCAGGUCUGCACUCACUCCUUCGCAGCAUGAGCGGAGGGACUGAGGGUUUGACUGAUACAUCUGUUCUAACUCAUUUUGUUCUGUUUAAAACACCCCCAUCCUACUUAGUACAUGUCUCAGCUUUGGUGUGACUCAUAUUUUACAUCAUUUUGUCAAUCCCGUGUAAAAUGUUUUCUUCCAGCAGAUGGGAAACAGGCUCAUGGAGAUAAGGGAUUGAAACUCAAGACCCACUAAGGCUACCAACAGCCACUACUACUUUCUAAAAUCUUGUCAUUCCCAGCCUGGCCACUAGUUGCCCUCAGUGAGCUUCACAUACUUGCCAGCUACCUGCCAAUCUUAACAAAUAAUCACCUUUCCCAUUUACAGCCUUACAUAAACGUAUCUUCCACAGUGUAGUGCUCAGUUGGAUUUUUAAAGAUGCUUUACCUCUAUUCUGGUUUGUCCCUGUUGUGUGCCCACCACAGUUUAACACCAGGUUUCUGUAAGCCUGGUUCACAUGUGCAUUGCAUUUUCAGACCUGCACUUACCCAGGAGCAAAGCCAGACUGUGUGCUAGGAGCUGCAUGAUUAUAGCCACAAUGAUAAUAACAAUCAAGACUUAGAUCCCAAGAAAAAAUCACAGUUGUGACGUAUUUUUGCAACAAAUUUAAUUUACAGUUUACAGUGAAUUUCAUAAACAGACAUCCUGCGUCUUGACAUGGACAAAAAAUCUGUCCAUUCUGGCCCCCAAAAUUUGAUCAAGUAUAACGUCAAACAUCAUGUAAGCUUGACUUUUAUUUGAGUUUUGGCAUGACUUUGACACAUGGAUUUUCCUCUGAGAUUAACAUGAUGUGGAAUUAAUGGGGAAAUUAUCUGAACUUGAAUAUAUUUUAACAUUUUAUUUCAUUACAGUUACAGAUGUAAGCUUUCAGUCUUUUGGCCUUCAUCUUUAAAACAGGUGGAUUUAGUCUAAUUACCUUCUGAUUUUAUUUAAUAAUGACUUGGACUUUCUGUGUGAUCUUGACUGAACACGUAUCAUUAUUAUUCAUGAGCCUAGAGUUACAAAAGGUAAAGAGUUGAUGUUAGCUUAUUGAUGCUCCUGCAGCUUAGAUCAUCAUGCUCAUUCUGCUCCUCUGCUUGACUAACACACACCUAAAUCUCCUGCUCUCAGCCCGCUUUGCUGUCUUUUUUUCUACACUUUCUACUACAAACCUCAUCAACAUGUACAUCACUUCUUUCUCACUGGUGUCAAAGAUGAAAAAUCUUAUACCAGAAUUUGUGUUGUUCAGGUGACUUUCUAAUAGUAACUGCUAAUGAAUAUUGUUUUGUUACGAAUAUUGUGAUGAUUAUAAUAUAUAGUUAAUUUUCAUAGGCAAUAAUUGCUCAGUGCACAAAGCUGAACUCUUUCUUUUAAUACUCCACAAAGGAGUGUUACAGCCAAUGUUAAGACAUGUUUUGUUACCAAGAGUGACUUAUUUUGACAGUACUUUACUGUUAUGAACAAGAGAGCCGACAGUCCAAAUGUGUGGAAGCUGUGGGGGACUCAAUGGCAAAGUAGCUCCAGUGAGACCUGGGCCAGUGGUUCAGAUCUAUCUCUUUAACAGUUUGUGUAUUUUUUUAUAGUAUUAUCAAGUGUCGAGCACUAUCAUAACAGCUAUGCCUCGCUAGCUGGCAUGUCAGCAAGCUCUCCAAAUCAAAGUUUGCUGUGCCACCUGUCCUUUUGACCAAGACUCAGAGACUGGUUCAACAUCUCUGGCCCUGUUGUACAGCUCUAGCUUGGAUCUCAUUAUUUCUUGAGGAUGAAACACUUAUACUCGAAGUUGCUUUGAGUAAAACAUAUUUCAGGAAAAUAAAGAAAAUGGCCAGGAGCUGUUCACUUGCCUCCACUGAACUAAAGAAGAGACAAACUCGAAAUAAAAGGCUGCCUGUUUGUUUGGGUCCUCUGGCGUACCAAUCGUCCAUGUCUUUUACUUGCUGAAUGCCUUCAUUUUACCCCUUUACCGCCCUUAAAAAUGCAUAGAAAUCACACAAAAAGUCCAGUCACCCUCAGUUUCCACGAGAACACAAACUGUGGGUUUCAAAACAACCCAGUAAAAAAGAGUGAAACCCAGAUCAAAUCCAUCCACACUAUCCAAUAAAGAGUCUUUCAGGGCACAACAUGGGCACCUUUUGUUGUUUUUAUUUAGAAAUGUACCCUCUACACUUAAGGCUCUGUAGCUGUGGAGGACACUGUUGGAAAGUCUGGAUGGUGACUUCAACACGGAGGUUUCCAUUUCUAAGACAUUCAGAGCUGUUUCAAAGUCUGAAAUUGACUUUAGAAGUGUCUGGACUUCACAUCCUUUUGCCUUUUUUUCCAAAGUGUUGCAUCAUUUCCCUUUUUCACCCAGCUGCUUCCUUCUUCACGGCAUGUGGUCAGCAUUUCCUCAGAGCUUUGGAGAGGAUUGCAUUUCUGGAACCAACAUGCCAGAAAGAAAAAAAAGGCAUUGCAACUAAGCUGCUGCGAGCACUAUCCUCUCUCUCUCCCAUCCUUCGUAAACCUUGCAUACUUGUUUUCCUGUAAGUCAUUUGUAAGCAUGUGUUUGGGCUCAAUGCUAAACAAAUAAUCCAAUAAAAUCAGAACAGCCUUGUUCCGUCACUUUCUUUCAGGAAGAGGGAAACAGGACAUGACUGAUUCGGUUGAGAUUUAUGUUUUUCUUCACUCAUUUCAUCAUAAGUCAUUCAUUUAUUCAAUGCCCAUUCUCUCUGCAUAUAAUUCUUUAAUUUUUAUGUUAAUGGCUUCAUGGGGCGGUGGCUGGCUUUUGAUGACAUAUCUCCAGUGGAGAUCCUUGGACGGCUUAGUCCGCCCAUCCAAAAAUAGCUGUGAAAUCCCACCAAAUAAUAGAACGGUGGUGUGGUGGAGGGUGAGGCGGAGGGGGUGCAGGAGGGGUGGAUUUGCGGCAGCUGAGGCUUUGCAUUCGAAUGGCAGAGUCUGUCUGGAGUAAAGGGACCCCCCUCUCCACACCAGCCCUCCACCACCACAGCCACAACACCCAAGAGAGAGACGGAGAGGGGAGGUGUUAUCGGGUCCUUGCAGCCAUAGCCCUGACUUGUUCCUGAAUACCAAAUGUGGCACAGGACCAGAAAAGUGAGUUGUCUUUGUUUUGUCAAGUGUGCCAUGACAAAAUGCUGGGUAGCCCCCCUCAUGACCCCUCCUUUCCCACUCCUCACAUCCCCCAUAUGCACACACACAAACAUGCACACAGACAUGCACAUGCAGGUGAAGUAGCUCUGCUUGUUUGACCUGCUAAUCAUCUUUGCAUAAAUACAAAAACACACACACGUGCACACGAUUCAUGUCUGCGGUACCUGAUGCAUCACUGUUUCCAUAGGGAUAGCUGCACCUAUGACACUCAUGCAUCUAUCUGAAAACAUACAUUCAUACAUGCUGAAAUGCCCCAAAACAAUCUUGUGUGUUGUGUGACAGCAUGUUCACACACACAAUCACACAAAAACAAGGAGAAACAACACACUCCUGGGAAAUGUGUUUGUACAUACAUACACAAACACAAACACACACAGACAUCAAACCUCUAUCUUCACGGCAACAAGUCCUGCUAAAUAUUCAUGAAGCCCAACAACAACAACAACAACAACGGUGUCCUCUCUCACCAUCUGCUUCAUGCUGUCCCUCGCCUUUUCUCUUUCUCUCUGGUGGUCUUUGUCUUAGUCUCUCGUCCAUGUGACUGCCGUGUGUUUGAGGGACAUCAGACAGCCUUUGAGGGGUUUAUUAUUAAGCAACCGACUGUUGUCCUGCCCUGAUAGUCCUAGUCCAAUGACUUCAUGCAGCCCUACAUCACAACAGCGUCUCACAUAUACACAUGUGAACUAUGUGGGGAAAUAACAGGAUUAAAUCAUAAGUUGUAGACGAUCAUGAUAUUUAGCCUAUGCACCAGUAUUUAUUCCAGUAUUAAAAAAGAAAAUGACAAAAGUAAGCUUGAAAAACUGUCCAUUUAUGGCUCUAAGUAGCUUGUAAAGUUCACCCAUCAGUAAGUGUAUUGGGAAAUUUUUCAGAAGGCCAUUUUUUUUUUUACUUUGCUACAUGCGGGGUACCAAAUAGUCUUGGUUUAGAGUGUACGCUUAAAACCAAGAUGAGCACUUUGGUCAGAUACGUUAUGUGGCAAAGUCGGCCCCAUGUGCUAAAAAUGGUAGCAUACUAGCAUACCUUGCAUCCAAUUUCUGUUGACCAGCAUCCAUUGAAGUAACUUACCAGCCACAUGUUAUUCAAACAACCUCACUUUAAAUAUACUGAAAUAUCCCAUUUCAGACCCACUCCAAAGACAAUCAUGUUUUUCUUGUUGUCUACAUGUUCAUAUGGCAGUUUUCUGAUGCUACAGGACAUAUCAUGAGAAAACUAAGUGCAAAAUUGCAUUUCUGGGUAUUUCUGCAUUCAAUUCUCUGUGAACCUCUUGCAGACCCAAAUGGCAGGCUCAGACACAGUGAGAUUUUCUACAUCACAAAUCUAUGCUCUGUCCCCAGUGCCUCGCUCUGCAGGCCAGACCCCGAGAAGUAGAAAGGACGAUCGUGGAACAAGUGUUUGCGGUGACGGAUUACAAUCCUCGCAAGAAAGCUAAUUAUGAUGUUACCUUUUAGAGGAGGGUGCAGAGCUGUCUCUGCCCACAACUCAGAGGUAAAUUGCUGAUGAGUGACUGGAGCUCUGCAGAAGAAAAGCCCUUGAAGUGACUUGGUUUUUUUGCUCUAUAUUCAACAUUGUAUCUUGUGGGCUCCUGCACUGUAAUAGGGUAGUUAGGAUGUAAACACUCUUCUUUUGGCAUAGCUGGGUUUUUUUCCUUGCAUCUCCGUCAGACAUUUCAGGUGAAGAUUUGUCAAGUGGCAUUUUGCAUUACCUGUCUGUGAUGUGUAGAUCAUCUCAAUCUGUGUCCACAUAUUGUUUUUUAUUUGUCUACCAUCUUUUUGUCUUUCAUAUUUCUAGAAAGUGAGGAACCAGAUGCUUCCUCUCACCAGAUUUAAGCCUGGUGUGUAUUUCUGUGUCUCCACAGAAGCCCACACACACUGAAGUCCUCACCUUCUCAAAAUGAAUCACUCAUCUAAACAACGUGGACUGCAAGUACUCUGAUUGGUCUGCUUGGCAGCAGACAUGUCCAGAUUGCUGCCACUUGGCAGCGGCUGUAGUGUCCGUGUCUUGUGAUGACUCCCCUCUAUUCUUCUUUAAAAUAAUGAGAGCAGGAUCAACUGCUGCACAACAUUUAACAGCUUUGACAUAUUGUGCUCAGAUUCGGUCAACGAGGCAUGGAGGGAAAAUAGUGGGACUGGACAGAGGUUAUACAACGAGCAGAGACACUGAGCACCAAAAUGUUCAAGGUGCAUUUUAUUGCUAUCCAGGAGGCGUUGAUAUUGUUCUAAGUCAAAGACACGCACACAUGGAUACACACAAACACACACACACACACAGAGACAGACAGAACAAACAGCCUGCCAGUGCAGUCUGCAUGUGCUCAUGGGCAUGCAGGCCGAGGUGUGAAUGUGUGUCAGAUGGUUCGGUGGGCAGCCUGGCAGCCGGCAAUGUGGCAGUGCCCACACCUACAGAGAAUGACACACACACACACACAAGCCUUUUGCCCUCACACAUGCAGACACACACACCCUUCUAAGCCCCUGCCUGCCUGACCUACAAAUAAUUCUUGCACAGAUUCAUAAAUACACUCACAGAUGGGUUGGAGUCACCUGUUUACCUGGUCUGAUGGUUCUGGUCUGAAUGUUCCCGGUCUGUCAGUGUUCACUAGAUUUUAAAUAACGAAUAUGGCAUUUCUAAACUGAUUAAUAUUUCUAAUACAAGUAAAAAAGAGGGAGUGUUCACCUUUAUUAAAGCAAAUGAGAAAAUAUCCUUUGUUUUAUUGCAAAAAUACUUCAUCAUUGAUGGCUUUGAUUUGUUAUUAAAGCUUGACUUCUAUUGAAAAUAUUUUUUUCAUCCUGUCCAUUGACAAAAAUGUCCUUUUGAAUACAACUUUUCAUGUCGUAGAGGUUAAGUUUAUAACAAUAACUGCUUCUAUCAAGUAUAUCCACAUCAUUCUUUUGUUUUAGGUACCUGAUGAUCUCUCUGCAGGCAUCAAUGUCCAAGGAGCACAUGCUGGCAUUUCUGCCCCAGUUAUGAUGAGGCUGCGUGCAAAUGGCCAAUUACCCCUCAAACUACAAGUGUUUGUUGUUAACAGACUCCAAAACUCUGCUUCAGAAACCAGUAGGUGACAGACAUUACAUCCAUGUCCUAUACAAUUUUUGUUUUCUCUGUAUCUUCACAAAACAAUAGGUGAAGUCACCAAACUAUCUACGGGUUUUCUACAGUGUAUGAUCAAAUGUAUAUUUAUCAUUGAUUGUUUGGUCAGUAAAUAAUGAAAAAAAUAGUGAAAAUACAUAAAUCCUGGUUAAUCAAUUUAAACAUCUUGUCUUGCUCUUUCAACUCUCCAAGACUAUGGAAGAAUAUAUCCAAAAAAAAAAGUUCAGCAAGGGAAAAAAAAGGCUUUAAUGAAAAUGACCUCUUAGUGUUUUGCGCUACAAAGAAACUGGUUUGAAUAUUUAGUUUGUGUCCUGUGCCAAUAACCUCUUUUUAUGAAGCAAAUUUCAAAAUAAAAGUUACAAGGAGCAAAUUUAAACAUGCUUCUAGGCAAUCGUUGAAAGACAUACUUUUAUCAAGUCUCUACAUCUCCUUGUUGUAGUCAUAGUUUCCCUUCUUGAUGUUAGUGUACAGUAUGCUGCUUGUAUGUCUCCCCCUCCUCUAAUUCUCAUUCCAAUCUCGCCCUCACCAUCACUGUCUCCCUCCCUCUGUCUCCCUCCAUCCCUCACUCUCACUCCCCCUCUGUCUCUCUGCUCCUUCUCUCAGCAGUAAGCCCUCUAAUCUCUCCUGUUCAAUCGCCUGGCAGACACAUGCCCUCUGUCUGCAGAGCCAGCGGGGAUGUUUCCUGUGCAGGUGUACCACAGAGCAUGCACAAUAGGUACGAAGAGCACGGGGAGCGUGGCGGCUUUAGUAUGACGAGCAGGGCAGGUUGCAUGAUAAGUAUGCUGAGGAUGGUUAUAGGUAUGGAGAGUAAACAUGGCAGCUAUAGCGGAUGCAGCAGGUCCAGGGCACAGGGUGAUCACAGGGGUUUGUGGGUUAUAAGUAUGCCGGGCAGCGUGUGCAUGGAAACCGCGGAGAGUCCGGCGGGCGUGGUGCGAACAGUGGGAGUAGCAGAUGGUGGACACAGUGAGUAUGAAACAUGGCAGACACUUUGGGUACAGUGAGCACAGUGUGACCCCCUGUGCAGGGUGGCGGGACCGGGGGCCAAGGUUGCCAGUCGUGCCUGGACUCCCGCCCACUCUCCCUGACAUCCUCCAUGACGUUUCCUCUCUCCCCUCUUGCUGAGUCAUUAGUAAUUUUUGAGAGUUGGUAGCUUUUCCCCCCUUGUUGCUGGCAUCUCUUAAUCAAUGUUAAUUGGCUUGGAAUUAGCAUAUGUUAAUUAAUGAUAUUUACUUCAAAUUAAAGGUAUGAGUGGUCCCAGAGGGUUUCCUGUUCAUCUAAUUAGAACCAAUUAGCUGCAAUUAACACGUGUAAAUGAGACGGCACUGAGUCCAAAACAAACAGUGUGUAUAUGCAGGCUGCUGCCCAGCUUCCCCUGUGUUACCAAACAUACACUGAGCCUGUGUUUCCUUUUCUAUCUGUGCAGUCACAUUACAUUCAUGGCAGUAACAUGUGCUAUAACAAACCAGGAGGAACAAAAAGUCAUCUCAGCUCAAACACAUCACCAUCCUGGACCUCUCUGCUCCAAGUUUUCCCGCUCACAUCCUCAGCAUCUCUCCUAUUUUUAGAGCGCGCUGCCAAACUAAUUUGUUUUACAGACCUUCCUAUCAAGUGAAGAAAAUCCCGGAGGUGUAUUAAUUGAAAUUCAGUCGACGGCACAUCUUGUUUUGGUCUAAGAAACCACCAGCCGUGCUGAGUGUGGAGAGUAAUCUCACACAGGGAAAAUUGCCAGGAAAUGAGAAGAUGUAAACAAGGGAGAAGGUAGAAAAUAAACAGAAGUCAUUCAAGCAUCCAUGGCAUCUCACCAUACUCUAUUAAAAGUAGACUGACUGUUUUAGUUUAGAUUCCAGCGGAUCUUCUCUUACUUUUACUAACUGGCUACUUUUUUAGUGGGAGAAAUCACAUCCCAUCUUUCUUGCAGUAAAAAAACAGCUAAAGUAAGUUUUGACACAAAGUACAACGAAAGGACCCAAAGAGAAAAUAAAAAUAACAAGUGAGCUUUAACAAGUGAGUGACAGCUAUCAGGGCUACAAAAUCAAAUUCUCUUCAUUUUUUAAGUGUCUCCAAUAAGUAACAGUGACAGAAAAACACUAAUAAUGUUCCCCAUUAUGCAGAUGACACUCAAUUUUACCUAUCAAUGUGACUGGGGGAAACCAAUUAGCCAACCAAACUAGAAACCUGCUCUAAGGACAUUGUUUAUUUGAGGAUUUUCACCAAAGCACAAAAACUGCACUGCUAAGGAUGACAGAUAGCCAACUGUUGGCCCCACAGUGGUCUCAUCAUCUUGCUGCUUUUGAUACAACUGACCAUAAGAUCCUGUUACAGAGACUUAAAAUAACCUCUUUAGCUUGACUGAAAUCAUAUUUUUCUGAUUGAUCUAAUCUUGUGCAUGUUAGUGAAAGUCUUCUGUGCCCACCAAAGUUAUCUAUGGAGUUCCACAGGGUUCAACGCUUAGACCAAUCCUUUUCACCUUGCUUCAUCAAUCCUUCCUAUAUCAUGCCUAUAACUGAAGCCACAGAAACCAAUAAAAUAACAACUCUUGAAGCACGCCUUGAAGUCAUAAGGACCUAUAAGACCAGGAAUCUUUUGCCACUCAAUUCUGACAAAACUGAAGUUAUUGGUCUCUGCCCCAAAUACUAUAGUGAUUUUUCAAUGAUAUAACUGUAGCAGAUGGGAUCAGUCAGGUAUCCAGCCUCACUGUUGAGAAUCCAAAAGUUAUUUUUGGUCAGGAUAUAUCCUUUAACCUCUACAUUCAAGAAAUUUCCAGAACUGCCUUUUAUCACCUGUUUAAUAUUGAAAACUAUAUGGUAUUUUGAAAUGUAAUAAACAGAGAGCAGACACAUUACUGAAACUCUAUAUUUGAAACAGAAUACAUUUAUGGAAAAUUCACGUUUUUGUCCCAUUUCACAGACUGUCAGAGUAACAGGAAAAUAUAUAUUAAUGGAGAUAUAGAGAGAGUUGGUGUUUUUUACAGUGAAAAAACUGUAUGUAUAUAUUGGUAUCAAUAACAGUAUCGGCUAAAGAUGAGUCUGAAAAUCUCAGCAUGUCAGCAAAAAUUAAACUUUGUACGUUCCUACUUGUCCAUUGCGCUCCCAGUACGCAGGCUGUCUUGUCAUACUUUGAGUAUCUAACAGUAGUAUAGGAGGUGAGACCUAUAAUUAUCAAGCCCUUGGAAUUAUCUAUCAGUCUGGGUGCAGGAGGCAGACACCUUCUCUUUCUCUCAGAAGUGGCUUGAAACUUUCCUUUUCCACAAAGCUUAUAGUUAGGGUUGGCUAGAUCAGCCCUUAGUUAUGCUGCUGUAGGCCUAGACUGCUGGGAAACCUGCCACAUGUAGCCUUUUCUUUCUGUUUGCAUGUCACUGCAUUAAAAUCUUCAUGUCGUCUACCAAACACAGAUCUUAUUUCAGAGGCUCUUGUUUUGGUUGGUACAGACAGCCUGAUGCUGUGGACCUGCUCACACCAACUGUUUCAUUUUUAUCAUCAUUACUAUUAUAAUGCUAUAUGUUAGAAUUAGUAGAUGUUACAAUUUUUCAGUAUAUAUUUGGAAAUACAUUGCAUCCAUGUUGUUUUGCAAGCUAGACUGACCCAGCUGUGCAGAUUUGAUACAGCCUUGCAGACGUGUUUUUCCCUGUCUCCUGUCUCUUGUAUCUGGAUUGCAGGUCUGUCUGGAUGAGUGAAGUCUACAAAGAACUGCAAAACAGCAUUGUCUGCUCUCUGUGCUCAGCUCCUAAAGAGACCUAAAGCACUGGCUAGAGUGUUUUGGCAGACACAACACACAUCCUUUCAUUCCACCUGGGUAUUAUAACUUCCCCCCUGUGCGCGUCCCUUUUCAAAAACCCCAGACUUCAAUUAUCCAUCCUGCAUUGGCGAGGUAUCAAUGAAGAACCCAGCGGUGACAUCCGCAACUUUCCGUGCUGUUCUUUAAUGAUGAAUAGAUGCAGAUUAUAUUUCUUUUUGUGUUUUUUCUUCUCUCCCCUCACCUUCACCUAAACCCCCACCGCCGCCCAUCGAGGUAAAAGAAGGUGUCUUGUUGAAAUCCCUUCCUGCUCUGAGCGCUGCCUAAUCUUGAGUUAGUGGUUGUGGAUGCAGCAUUGACAGGCGUCUCUCUCUCUCUCUCUCUCUCUCUCUCUCUCUCUCUCUCUCUCUGUAGCUUUUGGUAGACUCCCUUCAGCGUACUUACCACUAUAACAAUCAGGGGUGGGGGGUAACGUUGCAGGAGGGUUUGCAGUUGAAAAUACAGCAUCCACCGCCUUUGUUGGGCGAUAAGGGAAAGGUGGCGGGUGAGGGGGUGGAGGGAUACAUGCACACAAGGAGCGAUCUUGGGAGCUGAACAAAUCUGAAAACGGCAUUAUGGGUUGGUAAACACAGAUGCCAUAAGAAGGUGCAGGAUUUGCCGUUUUCCUAUUCCCCCCUUUUUUUAGAGGCUGGAGUACAAGGCACAAAGACGAGGUGGAGGUGGAGUGAGUGGAGGGAUGAAGCGAGAAAGAAAGGAAGAAAAAGGAAGGAAAGGAAAAAGGAAGGAGACGAGGUGAAGGAGAGAGGGUCUGAUAGAGGGAUCCGAACCCAUAGUCAAAGCUAAAUUCAGGUCUCUUCAUUAAACUGUCACUCACCUGCUGCCCCACAGGGUGUCACUUCAUGUAAACACUAUCCUUCAGGCCAAAAGGUUUGGCCUCAAGUACAACUAGUUCAGAUUUAUUCUCUUUUCUUUUUAAUGAACAAGCCUCUUGGUUUCAGUCACAUUCUAGUCAUUUUUGCCCUUUAUAGACUAAUCCAACAAAUCACUAUUACACUGUGGUGGCCUCGAGUCAAAACAAUUGCACAUUCGUCCUCAGAAGCUGCUUAUGUUCUACUUUCAGCUUUACUGUCUGUAUUACUGAACUUGGAGUAACGGUGUAGCUUGCCUUGUGGAGUCUCAGCUUCUCUAUCAGUCCUAACAAACUUAAACUUAAUUAAGUUAAUUUUUUCCCAACACACAGGCUUAGCUUCAUGAGGAGUACUCCUGUAUGAGAGCAGACAAUUUACAGAGAUUAACCAGCAGCACCCUCAUAAAAGGGUCGAUAAUAUUAUGAUUGUUUGUAAUUUUACCCUUUACUAAAUGACCUGUUGAUUGCACUUUUUCUUUUAAUGCCAGCUGAUGAAUGAAAUAACAACAUGCUCCUCAUGUAGUUAGCAUACUUGUUAGCAUGCUAAUCAGAAAGGUGCGUGUAAACCUUAUGGCUAAGUUCCAGUUGAAUCUGGAUCUCCUUUCUUAUACAAAUGCAGUGCCGCUGUGCUGAUCUACCAAAGUAAUAUAGAGACUGCCACAAUGUUAGACUUUCACCUAACAAUUAUUAUCAUGAUAACAAUAUAACCGUGAUGUUAAAAGAAAACACAAUCAGUCAAACAGAGAAAAAGCGAGAAAAGGGUGGAGCAACAAAUGACUUUGUAAGCUCAACAUAUUUUAUCACCUUAUGUGGCAUCAUCUAAUUCUAACAACAUUCAUGUAUUUGAGGUAUUGCCUUUUCAACAGUUGUUUGUCAUGCUUUUAUUUGAGAUUUUUUUCUGCUUUGUGUUCAGGUUGCUUCAUUUCCUACAUUGUCAAACUAUCUUUUUUUAAUCUGUAGAGCAGAAUAGAACUGGAUGCAGAGAAAGGUUAGAAAGUAUACAUGUUUACUUUAUCAGAAACCUAAAGAGAAACAAGCUCCUAUGUUCUUUUUGGAAUAACAACGAAUCUUGGACAUCAGUUUUAAUAACAGCUAAUCAUCUCUCAGAGGACUGCUACAGCAAGAUCACUAGCAAUCUUCUACUUCUUCUUCAUCUAUCCUGUUUUAUGAUGUGUGGCAACCAACAUAAAAUACCACGACUAUAAUGUCAUGGUAUUGUCAAAUGUUAAUUUUUUGCACAAUAUCAGCAUUUCAGUUUUGCCCCCUUUGUCCUUAAGACCAAGUAAAUGGUGAAAGUGUGAGUCUGAGUGAGAUGUCAAGAGUGGACAAUGAUAAACUGUUGUGAUUGAUAAAUAAGGAUGAGAGCACAUUAGAUAUAUAUACACCGGAAAAUAUCCCUCCUUCGACAUAUUGGGCAAAAUAAAUUCUCAUGCAACAGUUUUGCUGGAAGAAUCAAAUGCAUGUUAUCUCUUCUGUAUCAUGAGACAGAUAGUUAAAGGGACACAGAGAGGGAUUUGAGAUGAAGGUAGCUGCACUGAGGAGACUUAAAUCUGCAUGUUUGUGUCUGCUGUGAUCCUGAUUUGUUCCACUCUCUGUCUAGACCUGGAUCUCCUUUGAAGCUGGUCUGAGAAUCGUCUUGAUAUUCUUCUCUACAGGUCUCCCCACAACAAGUGACAAGUAAGUUUAAAGCGUGUCUUUGGACUAGCAGGAAGAAGUACAUUACAGCUACAUCCCUGCCAGUGUUCGGUGUUUUGGCUUGAGGGAAAGGAGAACUCUCACCCUGCCGUCGGCUGCUCGCAGGAGAUAAAAGAUUCGGCGUGUUUUUACCUGCGUUUGUCUCCACCGCUCUGUAUCUGGAAUUACACCAGGGAGCUGGUCGAUAACGCCACUACAAUCAGGCUCGCCACAGUGAGUAGCAUGUUCUCCUUUCAGGGCUGUCACACAGGAAAGACAAUGCAGCACACCUGUAGGCUCCACCGAGAGCUUCCUCUGUUUUAUUGUCAGCUCAGCGCGCUGGGACCCAGGCGUGAGCGGCUGCUCUCUCACAUCACAGAGAAACAACUCCAGACUGUCUCAGUGGAAGACACACUGCAUGUCUGUUCGUGUGUUUGAUGCAAUCAUGUUAAAUGGAAGUCCUGCAGCUGUAGCAGAGGAAUGAUUCAAAAUACAAACGUG